ACUAGUAGGGGAACCGAUUUCCUUUUUGUGAUUCCUCCUGUAAUAUGUUUUCCAGGGGACUUGGUUUGUGGGUAGGACUAUGGAAUGAGGAUUGAUGUUAGACAUGACACUAGGAGUGGGUUCGAUGAAUUCAAAGGUGUUGUUAGACUCUUCACUCACACUCUCCCCCUGAAGAUGGCUAACGGGAAAGUAGGGUCGAUCCUCAUAGAAAGUAACAUCCAUAGUGACAAAGUAUUUUCUGGAUGGCGGGUGAAAACAUUUAUAACCACGCUGGUGAGGGGGAUACCCAACAAACACACAUGCCUGAGCCCGAGGGGUAAAUUUGGUUUGAUUAGGGCCAAAAUUAUGGACAUAAGCGAUACACCCAAACACACGAAGAGGAACCUCAGAAACAUGAUGAGUCGAUGGGUAGGACUUCUUAAGACAAUAUAAGGGAGUUUGAAGAUGAAGAAUACGAGAAGACAUUCUAUUGAUUAAAUGAGUUGCUGUAAGAAUAGCAUCUCCCCACAAGUAUGAAGGAAGGGAAGUAGAAAGCAUAAGGGAACGGGCUACUUCCAGAAGGUGAUGGUUUUUCGCUCGGCCACUCCAUUUUGUUGAGGAGUGUAGGCGCACGAGUUUUGAUGAACAAUCCCCUUAGAAGCAAGAAAUUCACUAAGGUUAUGGUUUUGGAAUUCCCGACCAUUAUCACUCCGAAGAAUAGCAAUUUUUUGAUGGAAUUGUGUUUCAAUGGUGUGAUAGAAAUUUUGAAACAUAGAGGAAACCUCAGAUUUAUCAGUGAUAAGGUAGACCCAGGUAAGACGGGUAUGAUCAUCAAUGAAGGUUAUGAACCACCGUUUUUCAGAUGAGGUUGUUAUCUUGGAUGGUCCCCAGACAUCACUAUGAACAAGAGUGAAGGGUUGGGUUGGUUUGUAUGGUUGUGAGGGAAAAGAGACUCAAUGUUGUUUGGCCUGAAUACACACAUCACAAGAUAAGGUAGUCAUCUCAACUUUAGAGAAGAGAUGUAGAAAUAAAUGUUUCAUAUAUUGAAAAUUAGGGUGGCCUAAACGAAAAUGCCACAACAUACAAUCUUGUUCAGAAGUAGUGAAAUAGGAAGAUAAGAGACUAGUCCUAGGAAUGCUACUAGAAGAGGUAUUGUCAUCAAGGAGGUACAGUCCCCUACUAUGCCGGGCAGUGCCAAUCAUUCUCCCCGAGCUCAAGUCCUGAAAAGAGACAGAAUCAGGUAAGAAUAUUGCUUUGCAGUUUAACUCAUGAGUGAUCUUGCUUAUCGAAAGCAAAUUAUAAGAUAGUUUGGGCACAUGCAAAACAUUAUGUAAGGAGAGCCCUGCACAAGGAGAAAUCUUCCCCUUUCCAGCAAUGGGGGCCAAGGAGCCAUCUGCAAUUCUAAUUGUCUCGUUCCCGACACAAGGAAUGUAAGAUACAAAAUGUUCAGAGGACCCAGUCAAAUGAUCUGUGGCACCAGAAUCCAGAAUCUAGGGGUUCUUCCCAUCAAUACUAACAAGACCGAAGGAGUGAGGUAUACCCGAUUGGACAGUGGCACCUAAAGUGGCAAGACUGAGAUCAGUUUGGUUUUUGUGUGGAUCGGAUUGUUGAGGAGGUUCAGCAGACUCACUCACAUACGCUCGCCCUGUGUUCUGUUUGUCGUUGGAAGGGUGUUUCUUACCUCCAGGGGACGACCAUGUAACUUCCAACAUUGUUCUUUGGUAUGCCAUUGUUUUUUGCAAUGCUCGCAGACAGGAAUUGGUUUUCCAUUAUGCUUGUCACUGAUACUGUUAUAAGAUCUUGCACUAAAAGCAGCAGAGUCAAUAGUAGGGGUUGCGGAAAUAUUCAUAGCACUUGUGCGAUCUUCCUCAAGGCGGAUUUCAGAGCAAACUUCCAUCAGGGAGGGAAUCGGUCUUUGACCUAGUAUACGCCCUCGAACUAUAUCAAACUUAGGAUUAAGACUAGUAAGAAAGUCAUAAAUCCUGUCAUUCUCUUCAAUUCUUGAGUACUGUACACCAUCAGUGGGAUCACGCUAGACUAGUUCUCUGCAUAGGUCCAUUUCUUGCCAUAUAAGAGAGUUUAUUGAAAAAGGAUGUGACAUCCAUGGUUCCUUACUUGCAUUCAUGAACUUGCUUUCUCAGCGUGUAUAGACGAGAGGCAUUCUGACGUUUUGAGUAAAGUGUAUGGGCUGUGUCCCAAAUAUCCUUGGCUGUUGCAGCAAACAAUAACGGCUUGCCAAUUUGAGGUUCCAUACUAUUGAUCAAUAUGGAUCGAAGAAUAGAGUCUUCUGCCUUCCAAUAUCGUUCAUGUGGGUCGCCUGGUAGGGGGCGAGGUAUUUCCCCUGUCAAAAAGAUAAAUUUUUGUCGUCCUUCGAGGACCAUCUUUAUUGACUGAGACCAUGAGAAAUAGUUGUUGCCAUUCAACUUUUCUCCUGAAAGAUGAUACAUGGAAGACUGAGCCACCGUGUUAGUCACAUAAGGAGAGGAUACAUUAGGGAACGAGUUUACCGAAUUCUCAGAAUACAGCGGUAGAGUGGAUGUCGUCCCUAAGGUAGCCUCAAGUGCUGUUAUCUGUUGUCGAAGCCCUUCCAAUGUUGGGGGAUGAACUAUUCCCGAGGAAGCUUGCACGUUACGGUUGGAAUAUGCCGAAGAUUCACCAACCUCAAAUGUUGAGUGAAUUUGAGAGUUUUUAACAUCAGGAUGGUAGCUAGGAUCAUUGGGUGGCUGGCCAUACAGAUUUGACGGCAGAAGCGGUGGAAGCCGAUUGUAAUUAGAUGGCAGAACAUAAAUCGGGGCGUGGGAAGCAAUAUAGGUCGCGGACGAAGAAAAGGGUUGGAUAGAUGGAUGGUCGGCGCGUCUGAGGGAGAAAACCAGGCGCGUGUGGUCCGGUGGCAGCGCGGACGACUGCGGUAAUGACGAAAAAUUAUUUUCGGACGUUUUCUGUAGCCGGCUUAAUAAUUCGUCCAUGGCAGCACUCAUCCGAGCAUCGACGGCAGCAGCUACGGCAGCACUAAAAUUGAUGGCUGUCCCUUCUGUUUGAUUUUCAUCAGUGGUUUGGUUUUUUUGGGUUUCUAGGGUGUUUUCAUUGUCCCGCUCUAAUACCAUAUUGAAAAGAGAGACAACGAGUUCACACCAGUUUACGUGGAAACCCGAGUACGGGAGAAAAACCACGAUUGUUUGUUGUUAUUAUUUUCUAAUGAAUAAAACAAUAGGUACAAGGAGAAUAAAUAGAGUACACAAUGGAAUAAAAAAGGAAAAGAUUUAGGAAAAUAAGGAAUACAUUCCCAUAAUCUUUCCAUAAUUAUUCUAGGAUUCUAACAAGGAAAAAGCCUAGAAAAAAGGAAAGAAUUCCAACAGAAAAUGAUAAACGACAUGUCAGGAUUUUCGAGUUGCCCUCGAUGACGUUAGAAAUCGUUGAUGUAAGCACGAGGUGAACCUUACAAUGCGAGCGAUGGCAAACCAAGCUCAAGUUGGAGGAGUAAUCCCGAUGAGCAGAAUAAAGAUUCCUGAACCCUUCAUCUUUGAUUUUGAGCAAUACUUCAAGGUCACAAGCACAACCACAAAAGAAGCCAAAAUGGCAUUGGCGACUAUGCAGUCUUAGGAUGCCAAGUUAUGGUAGAGAUCCCAAUAUAUCGACAUUCAAGAAGAGUGUUACACAAUAGACACCUGGCACACUUUAAAGAAAGAACUCGGCUCACAGUUCUUUCCCAAGACUGUCGAAAUCUUAGCUUGGCGGAAAUUGGAUGAACUAAAACACAACGACAACAUUCGAGAGUAUGUGAAGCAAUUUGUUUGUUCUGUUUGGGAGUCUUUCCCUUUCCCUUCUUUUUAAUUUGAGCAUUAGGUUUUGAGGUCCAACUUUGGUUUUAGAGGAUGAUCCUCUUGUAAAUUUUCUUUUUGUGGUAGCAACAUUUGCUUCUACUUGUUUCCCUUUACCCAUAGUAAGGUUUUGGAAUCGCUGGAGUUCAUUCAGAAGGGUUGUCAGGUUAAAUUCUAUCUUGUUCAAAGACGCAUUCGUUUGGAAUGGAAUGAAGCUCUUCGGAAGAGACUCUAAGAUAAAGCUAACUUGAUUAACCUCUUCGAUGGACCACCAUUCACUUCAGCGAUGUUGAAGUGCAUCAUCAUGUCCAGAACAUGUUCUCUAACAGAGGUCCCUUCCUUCAUACGCUUAGUGUAAAUGUAUUUGACUGCCUCGUGUCUUAAGGACCAUUCUGGUUGCCCAAACAUUCCCCCUAAUGAAUCCAUAAUCUCUUUAGCCGUGGCUAAGGAUUCAUGUUUCUUUGCCAAUACAUCAGACAUGCUGGCAAGAAUGUAGACAUGGAAGGCGCCAGAAGGCGCAGUGAGCCACACAAAAGGGACCGAAACGAAUGUUCGAAAAUAUCAGAAGGAUCGAAGAAAGAUGGAAGGAAAGACGAGGAAAACAACAUACCAGAGCAAGUUCAAGACGGUAGAGAUGUCGGUCUUCAAUGGAAUAGACCUUGAUUCAUGGUUAUUUCGCGUUGAUCGUUAUUUCAAGAUACACGAGUUAACUGACUCAGAGAAGUUAAUGGUAGCGGUAAUCAGUUAUUAGGACCAGCUCUCGAUUGGUAUAGAUCAAAUGAUGAGUUGGGACGGUUCAAGAGUUGGGAUAUUUGAAGCAAAGGUUGUUGUCCGAUUUCAGACGAUUUGGGAUGGAACACUCCUAGGCCGAUUCUUAACGAUUAAGCAGGAAACGACAGUAGGGGAAUAUAGAAACCACUUUGAUAAAUAUUUAGCUCCGGUAGCCUUCCUCCAGACCAUAGUGUUAGAAGAAACCUUUAUGAAUGGGCUAAGCCCAUGGCAUAAAUCCGAAGUUAAAAUGUUGGAGCCCAUAGGUUUGGCCGAGAUGAUGAAACUAGCCCUGAAAAUUGAAAAUAGAGAGAUGGUUCAUCGAGAAUGUGGGCUUAUUAGUGUUUCUAGAAUGAAUAAACAAUUCAAACAUAAUAACGUGACGCAAACCUCGACAGUAACACCCAAUCAGAAACCCACGGAAAGGAGCUGGCCGAUGAGAACGAUUACGUUAAAAAAAGUGACGGCAGAUGAAAAGAGGAGGGAAGGUCCGACCAAGCGUCUUUCCAACGCUGAAUUUCAAGCACUGAGGGAAAAGGGUCUAUGCUUUCAGUGUGAGGAGAAGUAUCACGCUGGACACAGGUGUACGGUGAAGGAACAAAAGGAAUUACGGAUAUUAGUAGUAAAGGAAACGAGAGAAAACUGGAAAUCAUUGAGGAGGAAUACUUUGAUGUGGAAACGGAGGCCCAGACCAUUGAAAUUGAAAGAGUGGAGAAUAUGAUAUAGAACUUCCAUUAACUCAGUUGUGGGGUUAUCCAACCCUGGAACCAUGAAAGUGAAAGGGAAGAUAAAAGAGACCAAAGUGGUAAUACUCAUCGACAGCGGAGCCACCGACAAUUUUAUUGCAGAAAAUUUGUAACCACCCUUAGCCUACCAAUGACAGAAACGUCCAACUAUGAGAGUGAUUUUGGGAUCAAGGGUUGCGGUCAAAGGAAAAGGAAUCUGCAAUAAUGUUGAAGUGACGGUAGGAGAGUGGAAAAUUACAAACAGCUUUUUUCCCUUGGAAUUAGGAGGGUUGAUGUAAUUUUGGGUAUGCAUGGUUGCACUCAUUGGGCAUGACUGAAUUUGAUUGAAAAAUUUGGUGAUGACAUUCCGACAUGGAGGAAGGAAGAUAGAGAUAAAGGGGGACCCUAGUGUCACCAAAACCCAAGUGAGCCUAAAGUCUAUAAUUAAGACAUGGGGAGCUGAUAAUCACGGUUAUUUGGUAGAAUGUCGGGCCAUGGAGGGAAGGCUAGCUGAGGAAGGCUUAGAGGAUGAAGAAGUGCCAGCCACUGUUGACAACAUGAUCUCUCCUCUGUUGAGCAAAUUUAAUGAUGUUUUUGAUUGGUUGGAAGAGCUGCCUUCGAAGAGGAACAUUGAGCACCAUAUACCCCUUCAGAAGGGGGUGGAUCCAGUUAAUGUCAGACCUUAUCGUUACGCACAUCGGCAAAAGGAGGAAAUUGAAAGACUAGUUGAUGAAAUGUUGAAGACAGGCAUCAUAUGACCGGGUACCAGUCUGUAUUCCAGCCCAGUCCUUCUCGUGAAAAAGAAAGAGCUGGCAAUUUUGUGUAGAUUAUCGGGAGUUGAACAAUGUCACUAUCCCAGAUAAGUUCCCAAUUCCGGUCAUAGAUGAGUUAUUCAAUGAGCUGAAUGGGGCCAACAUGUUUUCGAAGAUUUAUUUAAAGGCGGGUUAUCACCAAAUCAGGAUGCAUCUGAGAGGUGUAGAGAAGACGGCCUUUCGAACACAUGAGGGACACUAUGAGUUCUUGGUCAUGCCGUUUGGGCUAACCAAUGCCCCUCUACGUUCCAAGCAUUAAUGAACCACUUCUUUAAGCCUUAUAUGAGAAGAUUGGUAUUAGUGUUUUUCGAUGACAUUUUGGUGUACAGUAGGGGAGUAGAAGAACAUGGACAACAUCUGGAAGUAGUCUUGGAGAUCCUUCGGAGAAUGAAUUGUAUGUGAAUUUAGCCAAAUGUUGCUUUGCCAAAAGUAGAAUAGGUUAUUUGCGGCAUUUCAUAUCCAAAAAGGUAACUAAAGUUGAUCCGGAAAAAAUAAGGGCAAUUAGGGAAUGGCCGAUUCCCAUUAGUGUGUGAGAAGUUCGAGGUUUCUUAGGACUCAAUUGAUACUAUAGGAAGUUUGUGCAAAAUUAUGGCAGUAUCGAAAGCCCUUUGACACAACUUUUGAAGAUAGGAACUUAUUAUUGGACUGAAGAAGCAAGUGCUGCCUUUGAGAAGUUGAAGAUGGCAAUGAUGACUCUACCGGUGUUAGCUAUGCUGGACUUUAAUCUACCACUCGAGAUAGAAACAUAUGCAUCUGGUUCUGGUGUGGGGGCCAUUUUAGUACAAGCCAAGAGACAAAUAGCCUUCUUUAGCAAAACCUUAUGCAUGAGGGAUAGAGCGCGACCGGUUUAUGAAAGAUAAUUGAUAGUAGUAGUGUUUGCGGUGCAAAGGUGGAGACCAUAUUUGUUAGGGAAGAAAUUUACAGUGAAAACUGAUCAGAAGUCGCUCAAAUUCUACUGGAACAAAUGGUGAUUCAACCCUAAUACCAGAAAUUAGAGGUUAGUUGAUUGAGAAAAGUGCAUGUGGGGAAGUCUUGACGCGAGGAAGGCUAGGCGUUGAAAGGUUAUGCGAGAAGACCAAGGAGGUUAGCUAUGCGUUUGGAUAGUAAAUGACAUGCUCUAAGCAAUUAAUUAAAAGUAAAUCUAGGUGUCUUAACCAUGUCAUCCUGCAUUUUGCAGCCAAGGAGGAUGUGAAGGAGUUGCUAAGGUGUAAACAAAAGCUUAAGAUGUGAGUCUAAUCAAGAUUAAGUGUCAACUUAAUUUCAUGCAAGGAACUCUAUAAAUAGGUCAACUUCAAGAAUGAAUUUCUCACAACUUACUUGUUCAAAAUUACUCAAAUUAGUCUUAAAAUUCCAGAAAUUGAAUUUAGUUUAUGAUAGAGGGUUGCUAUUAAAUUUGGAUUCAAGAAGAUUUGCGAUUGGAUCAAGAUAAGGUGAGAAGGUCAUUUUCUAGGAGAAUCUAAGCAAGUUGCAAUUUUAGAGGGCUAUGGAACUCAUUUCUUGGGAUUUUCCUUCAAAACUUUGAGGUAUGAAAAUUAAGUCAAUUUGGAGUAACUUUGUAGAAUGAAGUUUUAUAAAAAAAAAUUAUGAAUUUUAAGUUAUAAUUUUUCAAAGUUAUGUCAUUAUUCUUGAAGUAAAACAGUGUUCUGGAUAGUGUCUGAGAGGCUUGCAUGUGUAGGUGAGAUAGGCAUGUGUUUUGGUUUAGAAGUUAUUGUGGUCCAAUUGCACACACAUGAAAAGGCCAUGGCACAGUCGAGUGGCAAGGCAUGUGCUCAGGCUACACGCAUGACCCUUUUUUAGAGGUUAGCGUGGUAUGCACGGGGUGCGGAGAGCACCAAUGCUUGCAAAGCACAAGAUGGACGCACGAGAUAGGCGAAUAGCACAUGUGUGGCAACCCCAUUGCAAGGUUAGCACACGAUAUACACCCCAUCUUAGUAAGGUCAGCACACGACAGGUCCCGGGCCAUGCACGUGUGGCUAGAUCCAUUCACCAUGUCAGUGGAUACCGUUGGGUUAUUUUCGAACUAUUUUGGGUUACUUUGAUAUUUUUGGGAAUUUUAAAGGAACUUUUGGAUAUUCUCAUGUUUAAUAAAUUAAUUAAAGAUAAAAUAUGAAGUUUUCAGAACAAGGAGGAUUAGGAUAAAUUUUUGGCCAAUGAUCUGUACAAGUAUUGUGAGUAACACAUUGAUUUUCAAGGUGAUUUAUUGAACAUGUUUUCAAGCUUUACACAAAAUAACUUGUGAAAUGAUUUAGUAAACAUGUUUUUAAGUUAUUACUUCAAGAUAAAUGUUUAUGAACAUAUGCUCAAGUUCAAGUGAAUGCUUUCAUGUUUUCAAAUGCUUUUAUCCAUGCCCGAAUAUUUCAUGAGACAUAUUGUAUACAAGUGGUUAACUCCAUACUGAUGAUAGGGUUGAGAAGCCUAUAGUUUAUGGGUCAUUAGAAAUAGUGUAUUGUUAUGCCUUAAAGGAGGAGAGUUAUUUACCCAUUGACUGUUCCGUCUUCGAAUGAAGGGGUAAAUACUACCAGUGGCUAUGGACAAUUGUCUUCGAAAAGCUAUGCAAAUAUUUCAAGUUUCAUGUUAUGGUUGUUUAUUAAUAAAUGUAUUAAAGUUUCGGUUUUAUACUAAAAUGUUUAUGAAAAUAUGUUUUAUAAAACUGUUGCUCACUAAGUUUUUCGACUUACCCUUUCAAAAUGUUUUUCCUCUUUCUAGAUAUAGGUUAUGGAUCUCGAUAUGCUAAACUUAUUGCUGCCAGGCCAACUUAGUUUUUGUUAUGCAAGGACAUUGUUUUCAUUUAAAGAAGUAUUGUGAUUAUUCAAAUAUUUAUAUCUUUAUGUUUUGUUCAUUUUUUAUGAUACGUUUAAAAGAUUUCUUAUGGGUUGCAUUACAAAUUUCGAAGUAUGAUUCAACUGUUUAUUUUAAUGAAAAACUUUUGUUGUUUAAAAAGUUUUGCAAGUGUUCAUGUCAUGUGUCAGUUGAGGUUGUUUCGAACAACUUCGACUGACAUCACGCCUCGUCUUGAUCGACCUAACAGGUGCCCAAGACGGGGUGUGGGAGUAGAUUAUAUCAUCAAUAAUUGUUUAGUUGAAACAAGAUGUGUUAUUUUUCAACUUUGGAUCACAUGCCUAAGAGUUGAUAAUUUCUUUGAGUGGUUAGAACAAUGUAGUUGUUGUAAUAUGUUUGAUGCACGAGAUUUUAAUCUCCAACCUUAAGGAGUUAUUUGGGGGAGAGAAAGGAAAGGAAAAUAAAUGACCAUUUUAGUCAUUUCCACGUUUGGGGGAAGGAAUAAGUUUAAUCCUCUUGUUCCUUCUUAAUCAUUCUCCUUCCUCUCAAUCCCUAUCUUUCUUCCUUCCAAUCCUUCUUUUCCUCCGAUAAAUUAUUUUUCAAUUACAUCAAACUAUUCUCAUUUUCAAAAUUAUAAAUAUCUUUUCCUUAAUAAUUAUAUUUUCAUUUUUCCACAACAAAUAUAUGUAUAUCCACGUAUACAUGUAAUUAUCAAAUUUCUAACAAAAUUUCACUCUUCAAUUUAAUUAAAUAAAGACAAAAAAAUAUUUAAUUAUAUUUAAAUUCAGUGACACUAAAAAUCCAAAUCCAAUAAUUAAUGAAGUAUUCAACUCACAAAUAUUUAAUUAAUUUUAAUUUCACAAAACCAUAAAUUCUAAAUUAAAUAUCACGUGAUUGUCUGUAUGCUUGAACCACAUGACCUGUUUUUGUUUUAUUUCUUUUUUUAAAAAAAUAUAUUUUAUUUUGCAUUAUUCUGAUGUACGAUGUAAUUGACAUUCACUGUUUAACUGUAUUUCGAUUUUUUUUCUUUCGUAUUUCACAUCGUUUCAAUGCUAUUAUGUUCGUCGUCAUUUGUUUAAAUUGAUUGUCAAUGAUACCCAAUUUCUCGUUAUUGCACUUGCAACAUUAAUUUUUUUAAAAAUUAGAUAUAAUUUCUUUCGCACGUAACACAACAAUUAAUUUAUUGGCACAGAAAACUUGCAUACAAAAUGUUCAAAAUUGACAUCAUAUUUACGAAAAUUAAUGGAACAUGUUUUUUGAUAAAAAUUCUAAAUUUUGGUAAAUUAAAAAUACGAAUAUUUGUGUAUUAGAUUUGCAAUACGAAGUAAAAAAAAAUACAACAAUACAAAUUUAAAAUAAUAAUUUUUUUUUUUUGUCAUAACCCUUCUCACUUUUUCCUUCACAAACAAAGAUUAUCAUAAUCCUCUCACUUAUUAUUUCCUCAAACUGUUGGGGUUUAUGUUCUAAAACUGGUAGAUUGUAAAUAUAAUUCAUUGACCGUUAUUAAUAAAGUGUUGUUGAUUAUAUUAUUAGUUUUGUCUUAAUAACCAAAUCCAAUAAACUAACACUCUAAGUUAUUUGAUAAGUCUUGAAUAGUAUGUAAAGACAUACAAUGAUCGAUAUUCGAGAUCAACUUAAAGGGUCUAUAGUAUAGAGAUAAGGUUGGGUACCUUAUCCUAGUAACACUAUGAAUAACACUUUAAAUUUGAUACAAACACAAUGAUCCAAAGCGUUCGUGUAGGUGACAUUCAAGUGAGGGUAUCCUAUGCAAUGAGUUUGCAUAAGACCGAACGAAAUAAUAACCACUAAAUGUAACUUCGUUAACUAGUUAGGUUUAUAUUUCAUUAGGAUGACCUAUGUAACUUAUUCUUAAUUUAAGUGUAUUAUGAACUCAUAUUCGCGAGAGAUUGCCCUUUGAUAUGUACGGGUGAGAGUGGCCAGUUUUCGACUCAAUAUGCUUAUCAUUUUGGGAACAAUACCAAGUAGAGAGCUGAAAACAUAAUCAUACAAGAUGAAAUUUACUCCUUCCCGACUUUUGGGUAAGUAGAUGGGUGUUUCCUUAAAUGGUAUCUUCGAGACUUGAACAAAGAGCCCUAUCCUCUCUAUGGCGCGAGAGGGAUUUUUGUUUAUUGGUUGGACCAUAAACAUGUUGUUCAUUAGAAGAACACUAGUAUUUAAGGAUUGGAGGUAAUCUAGGGGUAAAAUAGUAAUUUGAUCAAGCUGGUGUUACGAACACUCGUGAAGGACUAACUUACUAUUAUUCUAUAUACGUGGACACAUAAUAUAUCUAUUAUGAGAAGAGUUUAACUGUGAGUCUUUAGUGGAGUGUACACACAAUUAACGAAUAUUGAUUAAUGUGGUGAAUGAGUUUAGUCAAUUAAUCUCAUAUCGUUGUAGAUUCUGAUUUAUAGAUUCAUUAGGUCUCCUAGCUCAUAAAGGAUAAUGAGAUUUAUUUAUAUUGGUUGUAAUUUGAAAUGUUCAAAUUUACUUUAAGAAUUAUCAUAAUGUAUAGUGAUACAUUAUAAUGUAAAGUUUAUAUUUUAAUCAAACUUUAUUAUAUAAAUUUAAUUUUGGAUAUGAUUCAAAAUUAAUUUACGAGAGAUAAAAUAUUUCAACAUUCAAAUAAAUUUAAUGUGAAUUAGAUUCAUAUUAAAAUUAAUGGUUAUGAGAAAUAUUUAUAUUUGAAUAUGAUUCAAAUAUUAAGUUAAAUAUAAGAUAUUUGAUUUUGCUAUUAAUUAAUUGAAGAGAAUUAAUUAAUAGUUUAGUUUAACUUUAUUUAAUUAAAUUAAUUUAAAACUAUAGGAUAUUGGAGAGAUGUUAAUUAAAUAUAAUUUAAAUGAAAUAUUAACUACAUAUGAUUUAAUUAAUUAUUAACUGAUUAAUUAAUUAAUUAGUUGAUUUGAAAUUUCUAUUAAUUUAAUAUUUUUUAAAUUAAUAAAAUCUCAUUAUUCUCUUCUACUCUCAAGAAAAGAAAAGAGAGUUAUAAAUAUGCAGAAGAAAAAUAAUUUUUCUAAAUUAAAAAAAAAAGUCAAUGCUUUUGCUCUUUGGAAAAAUAGUUUUCUCUUAAAACUUUUUCCAUCUCAAUCUCACACACCGAUCUCAUAUAUCUUAGAGCAUAGGAAGUUAUUCGAUGAGUGGUGUCCCCAAAUUUGGAGAUUUAGUAUAUUUAGGGACGUCAAACUACGCAAGUUUUUCUCUUUCUAAUCUAUACUUUAUUAAUGCUUAAUAAGAAAAUUAAUUUUUUAAUUAUUUUUUGCCAAUGUAUUGGUAUUUUGGAAUUCCCAAAUUAAAUUGAGGAAUGAUUCUGUAAAAUCUUCCACUGCCUAGGGCUUUUAUCCAUUGACAAACAAGGAUUAUCAUAAUCCUUUCCUUUUCAUAAUCCUCAUUUUUUCAUAAUCAUUUUCCCUUUUGUCACACCCUAAUCCGCAAAACUACCAAAACGCAGAAAGUAGUGCAGAUAGUACGUGAUUUAGCUUAAAACCUUGAAACUGAUCUUAUCUCCUAAUUCAAACUCAACUCCUUUAUAAACUACCAUGCGGCAGAGAUAAACAUAACGCACAUCGGAAGUUAACUUAAACUUUUAUUCAACAACAAGUGUUUUGACGUGAUUAAACGUUAAGACACUUAUCUUAAAUCCUUUACCUUGUUUAAACGCCAAAUAUUUUAAAUAACAUUCUUUAGGCAUUAAAGCUUAACGUAGUCAUCAUUAAUAAAUAAACUUAAACUUAAUUAACAACAGGCGUUUCUUACAUAGUAUACAAUUACAACACUUUGACCAAAAAAUGACAUUAAUCAAAUGCUUAAAUGCCUGGUAGCUUUCUCAAGUCGCUACAAGUCCUUCAACCUUCUUCUCUACUUGGCCUAAACGUCUGAUCUUGGAAGAUGGAAUUUUAAAACGUAAGUCUAAAAGAAUUAGUGAGGUUUUAUGAAAUCCUUUUCGCAAUACCUUUCCAUAAAUCAUUUUCACCAUAUCAUAUAGUUUAACACAAAUCACUUUAUUAAUAAACACAUCAUUUCGCAAAACAUUACAAUAAAAUCAGACCAACUUGCAAAUCACAUCAAUAUACAUUUUGCAUAAACACUAAUUAGUCACAAUCAUUCCUUUGGUCAAGGAUCCCAAAUCAUUAUCUACGUUUGGUCUCGUUACCUUGCGUUUAGACUACUAUAUCAACAACAUCCGAGAACUUACAGAUUUGUCAUUGUUGCUCAGGCUAUCUAACACAAUGUAGUCCUUUUGUACAUUGGUCGACUUUACUCCUCCAUGCAUGCCUUUUCUACAAGGUUGCCUAUAACCUUGUGUGUAUAUAAUAGUUAGCUCAUUCAAAGGAAACAACUAAUGAUUUGAAAACCAUUUUAUAAUCAAUAUCAUAGUCAUCAAAUCAAGCUUUAAAUAUUAUGAAACAUGUUUGAAAUGAUAUAAAUACUUUUAAGAGAAGAUCAUUCACUAUACUUAGCCUUAGAAUUGGAAAUCUCCUAUUCUUCUUCUUUCUCGCGGAAACAAAAUGACAGCACUUCACACUUCAAAAUUUCCAAAAAAUCUCCGAUACUUAGUGACCAAAAUCCUUUAUUUAUACUACUCUUUAACCUGGAUUAGUUAUCCUCAAAUCCUCGUCCAAUUUCCAACUCCUACUUAAAACUUUACAUGUGUAAAAUUAUAUUUAUCUUAUCCAUGCUUAAAUCCUUAAUCUUACAUGUUAACCUCGGUCAAAUCAGAUUUGAAAUCUUCUCACCGAACCUUUCUUCUCACUUAAUUUCAUUUCGAAUAACUUUAACAGCUCAACAUAACUUUCAAAGGUCUUAAUCCAAUAACUCCUUUUGUGACUAUCCAACAUUUUCUCGCGAAUAUUUUUUCUCUUGUGAAUGUUUACAGAAAGACCGUACGGGGUUGGUUUAUGGAAAUUUUGAAGGUGAAGAAACCCUAUCUUGCGAGAUACCCAUCUUGCCGAUCCACCACCAUUCUCUUCUUCUAGUUCUAAUGGCGCUGGAAUCAGGGGCAACAGACCCCUCGAAAACCCAAGUCCUCCUAAGAAAAUGCUCCAACGUCAUAUCCCAACUCCCUUCAUGGUUCCCGAUUUUGAACCCUCGUCGGCUAAGUUGAAGAGCCCGCUUCCACCUAAGCCUCCCUCUUCUAACCCGCUUAAGAGGAAGCUCAAUAUGGAGACCUUUCUUGAGAAUUCCAUCCUUGGGUUGUCAUAUUCUGGUGCGAAGGUACUUACAUGGUGUGAUUGUGGGGGGUUUGAUUUAUUUUUGUCUUAAUUAUGGUGUUUGGAACUGUUUUACCUCACAGUUGCUGUUUCUCCAUUCUGCAUAGCAUUUGCUGUUGUUUGGUCAAGACGUACUUGUAAGAAAAUGGUGUGAGCCAGAAUCUAUUUUCAAUUACAUGAAAAUUUUGAAGUUUAGAAUAUUACUGCUUAAUGUAAGAAGCUAACUUCUUGUUUUAAUGUUUUGUAAACAAGGGAAUUGCAUUGAUAAUUACAGUUCGUCCAAUAGUUCACAUACCGAAUCUUAAGUUAGAAUUUUUAAAUCUUGGUUCUAUGUUUAUGUAUCUGAAACAUGCUGAUCUUAAUUGGUUAAUUUGUAUUAAAAGUCAAAUUGACGUCUCAAAGUUAAUUGGCCUAUGUUUUGUCUUUUGCCCAAAAAAUCAUGAUCUCUACUCACUGAUGUGAUAUAUAAUCCCUUUUCUAUAGCUUGAUAUUAGAAGUUAAAUUACAAAAGUUAAACUAUGAACAUUAUAUCUAUCUAUAUGUAGGUUGAACUAUCACCAAAGUUGGUCACAAUGGGAUAGAUAACUAAAAUGUUUUUAGUUUUGAGACUAAAUACUCACGUUGCUUUAAAUUUAGAGAUGAAAAGCCAUUGUAACUCAUGAAAACAUAAAAUAUAAGCAUUCUCUUAAAUUUCUUAAAGAUAAGUUUCUUUUUCCAAACAUUUUGUGACGAUUUUUUCAAACGUUAUCAGCCCAUCUUCAUACUUCAAAUUGUUAUAAAAAACCUCUUCCUAUAUAACUAAUACUUUGGAGAACCUUACAGGUAUGACUAGUUGACAAAUAAGAGCCUUCAGAUUGGUUACUUCUUAUCAGCAAUGCUUGCUUAUGGAACAGGUAAUGAAGGAAGUAAUGUGUUUCCUUGUGAUGUUCAUAUAUAGUAAAGAUCAAGUAAUGCGUUUACUCAUGCAAUCUUUUCAUCAAUGAUGAUUUAAGUGAAGAAAAAUAACACUCUACAUUUAAUGUUAUUAUAUUGUAGUGUUGAUAGCACACACACAUAUAUAUUCUGUAAUGAUAUAUAUUAGGAAUGUGAUCAAGGAAGCCAGCUUGUCUAGAGAAAGCAAGAGUUGGUGUUGAAGGUUAGAUACUUUCUUUAAAAUUAGUUUUAUAGUUAUUGCGAGUUUUUUUAGGAUUACUCUGUGGCUAAAUCUUCAUUAACUUACUAUGCUGCCAAUGAGAGAUAUUGGAAGUUAGUUCUCUUUCCCAUGUUGCCUUGUUUUUAUUCUAAAUUUCUAAUAGGACUAUGAGAGUUAUUCAUAUUUUACUAUCUGUUUUUGUAGCAACACCCAUUCAUGAUGGCAUGAGUACACCUAUGCACCCAUGAGUCCGUCAAGGUAAAUUUCACGUGUUCUAGUGCACUUGAGAUAUUAAUUGAGAUAAUGUGGAUAACAUUGUAGAAUGUAUGUGCUGUAGAAAUUCCAUAAAUUAUUGUUAUUUAAAUAUUUUCAUUUACUUUUAUGAUAUUGUCUUACAGUUAAACCGAGGAACAUUUAAAUUCAAAGAUGACAAUUGACAACUUUGAAUAACUUUAUGAUAAGCUUGAAAAUAUUAAUGCUAUAGCAGAUAGCUAAUGAAUAUUUAUAGUUUUUAGUUUAUUUUUUGCCAGUCUGGCAUUGAAAAUUAAGAAAUAAUUCUUGAAUGUAUAUUUGUUGCUUUGUUCUUUCUCCAUAAUUCUUCUCUUAGUCAAUUCCUUUUGGAAAAUACUUUUAUGUUGAUUCUUUGUAUUCUGAAGAUGGCAACACCUUAUUGAUGAAAAACAUGACUAUAUGAAAAUGGAAAAUAGAAUUUUAAGUACAUUAAUUAUUGAAAUAGUGGGAUUGAGAUGGAUGGAAUGCACAUUUUUAACGCUCCUUAAGUUGCAUGGUUGAAUUUUGGACUAGGGAAGCUAGUAUAAAGAACAGUCAAACAAGAUGUGGUUUGUCAUUUUUCAGAAGGCAGGCUGUCAUAUUUGGUACAUAUUAAUGGUUUGUUUAGAUAUUGUUUGUAGAGUGAUUGAAGUCAUAUCAAGUUGGAAGCUAAGAGAUUGGGUGAAAGCUAAGCAAUCGUUGAAGGUUGAAGGUUGAAGACUGUGAAGUUCAAAGUUCAGUUAACAGCUCCUACAAUGCGAUCAAAUCCACCUACUCAAACCCACCUUCUGUUUCUAAAGCAGAAGAGAAUUGUGUUAGACUCACCUUCUAUUCCUAAAGUAGAAGAGCUUUCAAUGACUUAACCAAGUGAGCGAUUAAGUUUUUUAUCAUCCAUAUUGUUUCCUAUCCGUACUUCUAUCUAGAGAAAGAAAGCUACAUAGAAAAAGUAGACUACCAAAUGGGAAAAAAAAGAUUAGUAAGCAGUGUUAUUUUUGAAAAUAGUAAACAAAAAUUAACAUGAUUAUCAAACCAAGCCAUUCGAGAACAUGAAAUAGAAUUGGAUAGCUGUCGUGCAUUAUGUCUACAAAUGUUAUGAUAGUUACUAUGAUAUGGGGUUUAUGAAAGAGAAUUUCCUAUGUAUUUUAACAACAGAUGAUUCUUCAUCAUCAAGCAAAGUUUAUAGCUUUAAAGAGUACCUAAAGGUUACAAAAUAUCAGCCGAUAGCUCAUGAUAAGCUCCAAACGAAUUUUCCAGCACAAAGCCAGAGUGUAUCCCCAGUGCAACGUGAAGGUUGUUAAAAUCAAAUCUCUUAGGUCGUAUUCAAUAACUAUUUAGUUUUGGUUGUUUGUUUUCAUAGUUUUUUUUUUUUUUGUUGUAGGUAAAGUUUGAUCUUUUGAAAAGUUCUUUAGAGAAGCAUGUCAAUACCUCCAUCCUAUGCGAUUAUAAUCUUAGGGAAGACUUUUUGUUCCCUUUCCUUCUGUCAAUGCAUUUUUUCUUCUCUUUACAUAAAGGAAAAUUUAUUCUUUUAGUUUGAGAGCAAAUAUAUAUUAUCUUGAAUUUUAAGCAUUUCAGCAUCGUACGUUUUAUCAAAUAACAUAUGAUUGGAUGAAUUGACUACAUUCUUUGUGAUUAGUAUCAUUGAUUUUUUUGUUAUAUCAUUUUGUUCACAAUGGUUGAUGGUUGUAGUUUUCGUUAGUUGUUUUCAAAAUGAGUUUAUAUAAUUUUUUUUUCUUUGAAUCCUUGCCAUUGUUGAGUAGUAACUUGGCAUUUGUUUAUUAAAAGGUUUUAAUUAAGAUUAUGGUGUUCAUAACUUUGUAGUCACACUAAAUAACUUAAAAGAGUUAGUUUUUGAUAGUGACAAACAUGAUAGUAAUGUGAUACUGAGUGUGAGGGUAAAAAGAGCUGCUUCUGUUGUGAUAAGAGACGACCCCGUGGAGCGAGUGCUCUCAGCACAAAUCCUUAAAACGAUUGUAUGAAACUAAUCCAAUUGGGUUCAAGUGAUGUUUGUGUUUUUGGGUAUGGUGUGUUUUGUUUUCAAGUUCGUUAGUAGACGUAUUACUUAAUUGAACAUUUUGAUACCAUAGCCAGUGUAGAGACGAUGAAUGAAGGGUGCUAUAAGACUAGUUAAGACUUAUAUGUGCCUUAUUUCAGUAAUAAAUAAAAUUAAGAGAAUUUUCUUUGAUUUUUAGGAACAAAGAUGAAUAAGCAAUGAAAAAGGAAUGAAGAGGUUUAUCCAUGCAAGCUUCAAACCAAGUCAAGAUGUCAAUCCUUCGAGGGGAGUCCACUGUUCCCCCUUAUUUUUCUCCCUUUACUUUGAUUUCAAAAGCUUUGAGGACAAAGCAAGUUUUUAAGUGGAGUGGGUAAUAGCUUGCUUAGCUUGAAUGUUUAGUCUAAACUUGGGGGAUUUCAAAUUUUGCCCAAAUUAAGAAAAAAUUCAAAAAAAAUUUCCUUACAAUAAUGAGCAAUAUAGCUUCUUAGCUUACUUAGAUCUUGCAUAAAAAAUAUGACUAUCAACCCUUGAACACUGAGUGUAGCUGCAUCAUUCUUAACGCAUGAGAUCACGUCAACUCACUUCGAGAUAUAGUCAACAACCAAUAAUAUGUACACAUGAGUUCCAGACUAUGGAAAGGGGCCCAUGCAGUCUAUCCCCACAUAUGAAGGGUUUAACUCUAAGAUAGGUUGUUAGAGUAGUUCAUCGCGAUGGGUUAAAUUCCCUAUCCUCUGACACCUGCCACAUUUUAUCACAAAGUCCUUCACAUCAUGAAAGAGAGUUGGCCAGAAAUAGCCACUCUGUAAUACUUUUGCAGCAGUCUUUGGCCACCACAAUGUCCAUCAUAAGGUGCUUCGUGGCAUUUGGCUAGUAUGUCAGUUGUUUCGUACUCAGGCACACACUGCCUUAUUAUGGGAGUUGACUUAGUUUGUACAGAAAAGGCUCAUCCUACCUAUAAAAGCGACAUUCAUGAAAUAACUUCUUCGUUGCUUGACUGUUGAAAUCUUGCAGCCAUUCCUUACAAACAAGAUAAUUUAUUGUCGACGUACCAUGCUUCUUUUAUUUCAACGUGGAAAAGCUGCUCAUUUGGGAAUCUUUCAAAUCUCCUUGGCCUCGGGCUGAAGUUUAUCAUUCUUAAGUCGUUAUAAGUGAUCAUAUACUUGGUUCUAUGUGCCUUUGCAGUUAAUUAUCUCAACGUUAAAUUCCUGAAAUAACAAAAUCUAUCAUAUUAACUACGGUUUUGCAUCUUUGUUCACCAUAAGGUAUCUAAUCGUAGAGUGAUCCGAAUGCAAUGUGUUUUUUGAACCAAUGAUGUAACUUCUGAAUUNNNNNNNNNNNNNNNNNNNNNNNNNNNNNNNNNNNNNNNNNNNNNNNNNNNNNNNNNNNNNNNNNNNNNNNNNNNNNNNNNNNNNNNNNNNNNNNNNNNNNNNNNNNNNNNNNNNNNNNNNNNNNNNNNNNNNNNNNNNNNNNNNNNNNNNNNNNNNNNNNNNNNNNNNNNNNNNNNNNNNNNNNNNNNNNNNNNNNNNNNNNNNNNNNNNNNNNNNNNNNNNNNNNNNNNNNNNNNNNNNNNNNNNNNNNNNNNNNNNNNNNNNNNNNNNNNNNNNNNNNNNNNNNNNNNNNNNNNNNNNNNNNNNNNNNNNNNNNNNNNNNNNNNNNNNNNNNNNNNNNNNNNNNNNNNNNNNNNNNNNNNNNNNNNNNNNNNNNNNNNNNNNNNNNNNNNNNNNNNNNNNNNNNNNNNNNNNNNNNNNNNNNNNNNNNNNNNNNNNNNNNNNNNNNNNNNNNNNNNNNNNNNNNNNNNNNNNNNNNNNNNNNNNNNNNNNNNNNNNNUGGGAUGGCGAUUGGAAUUGAUUACUUUGGUUAAAAUUUAAGAUUAGAUUAAAAAAAUCAAUUAAUAGAUAAUUCCAUCCAAUCAAAAUAACUAAAUAAAAGACGAGAUUUGAAAAUAUAAUAUCCUAAUAGACACUAAUAGACUUAUAUUAAUAGAUAAUUUCCUGCCGAUGAAAAAUUACUAAAGUUGUACUAUAUUUUAUAAAUAUUUCAAAACAUUACAUAAACACUAAUUAAAGUUGGGUUUAGUAGCAAAAGGUUACAAAUUUAUUGACACCUUUUAGGAAAAAAAAUACCUUGACAUGAUGUAAACUAAAUUUGUAAUCAGCAUUGAAAUCUUUACUAUAUAAAUGGGCUCGUGGAGAAAAAAUUAUAUACAUCUAUUUUAUUCUUAAAUUGUCGAAAAAAAAUUAUAUUACCUUUUGUGAUCUAACGUAGUUGUGACUUUUAUAGUGUAAGUGUCCAUUUUAAUGUUUGGAAAGAUGAUUUUUCCAAUUUUUUAGUUUACAAAAUAAAGUUCUAUAUUUCAUAAAAUAAAACCUUAUGUUGAAUAUAUGUAACUAAUGUUGAUAGGAUGUGAUUGGUUGAUCUUCAAGAUACGAUGCAUUCUGUUUAGAGUGGAGAUGGUUGCACACACAUCAAAUUGGUGCAUUGAUUCCUCCAAAUUUACAUGUGAAAUGUAAAUGUAAAAGAAAAACAAAACAAACUCUUGCAGUUACACAUUAGGAAAAAAAACGUCACGAAAUUCCAAAGUUCAAAAGAAAACAAACAUACACAGGGAUUUAAUUGAUUCAAAGUAGUAACAAAUGGUGAAAAAAUGCAUAAUUUGUUGUGAUUUCACAUUAACAUGUUAGAAUAAAAAAUUAUCGUAUUCUAUAUAUUACAAUAUUGGAUCAAAUAUUAAUACAUUAAUUUAAUUAUUUAAUUACUACAUCAAUGAAUUUCUUUUUCUUUUUUAAAUAAUAAUUUUACCAUUAAUAUUAUAUAAUAUUUGUUUAUUAUAUGCUAAAGCAUAUUUAAAAAUUAAAUAGAAUUAAGAGAUUUCACGUGAAUUUAUGCACAUGUUUCAACUGAAAAGAUGGAAACAAUAGUCACAAAUUAUUUUUUCCUAAAACAAAACAUUCGUAACCAAAUCUAAAUAUGCACUUUCAUAACUAAGGACCAAAACUCAUAUUACGUAGAAUUGAGCAUGGUUUAAAUGAAAUUAUUAACAAAAUACUUACACUUUAAACCAGGUUUUUUGGCAACAUACAUAGUGAGAAAAUUCCAAAUUUACCCUCUUACUUGUAUCUUUUCAAUAAAAAGUGCAUCUUAGUUGUAAUUAUGUCAAAAUAAAAAUAAAAAAAUAACUCGUCAGUUAACGUGGUUAUUCAUUAAUUGAUUUGGGUGAACUUUCUGAAGAUAAAAAUAACAAAAACAAACAAACAAAAGACUAGAACAUGUUAUUUAAUUAUGUAAUUACAACUUCCCUUUCUCCUCCGUGAGAAAAAAAACCAUUUCUCUAAAUUUCAUCUAUAUAUGUGUAUUGAUCAAAUGACCCAUAUCAAUAAGGACACAAAAUUGGCAAAGAACAAAUAAAUUAAAAUGGACAAUAACUCUUGUUUCAUUACUUUCUCUCUCAUUGGAGUUCUUUUGUUCACCAUCAUUUCAAAUGUGGCAUCAUCUAACGACGUUGUUUCUACCAUCUGUUCAGAAAUCUCAAAUCCACAAUUUUGUUUAAGUGUGUUGAAAUCUGCAGGCACUACAGAUCUAAAAGGCUUGGCUGUAUACACCUUAAACCUUGCUCAUUCAAAUGCUGGCAAAUCUUUGAUCCUAGCCAACUCACUAGCAAAAGCCACCACCAAUCCUCAACUUAAGCAACGAUAUUCAUUUUGUGCUGAGAGCUAUGAUGAAGUUGUUGGUGACAUUGAAAAUGCUCAAAACGACUUGGCACUUGGGGACUUUAUUGGUGUCAUUAUUGCAACUACUGGUGCCAUGACAACUCUUGGUGAUCACUGUCAGAAUAAGCUCUUGCAGCCCGCCGAAGGAUACAUCGUUGCUUUUAAAGAAUAGCAACACUCUAGAUGAUAUAUUUAGCAUUAUUAUGGUUAUAUCCGAUCAUCUUUGAGGGUUAUGUACUUGAACAUUUUGAUCAAUAAAUAAACUGAAGUUUAAUUUUUAAAAUAAUAUUACAAUGUGAUGGUGAUUGGAAUUGAUUACUUACUUUGAUUAAACUUGAGAAGAUAAAGAAAAUCAAUUAAUAGAAACGUUCACCGACACACAUUGUCAGCACGUCGGAGAAAGCCUAAACUUUUUUUUCUUUUCUUUUACGUUCUGUUUUCUUUUCUUUGUUUGCCAUCAUCAUCAUCUUCUUCUUCUUCUUCUAGCUUCUUAUGUUCUGUUUCAAUUGCAUACUUCUGUUAUUCUUGUAAUUUCUUCGUGGUUUUCUUUUUAACUUUGUGUUUCAGUGUGGAUUCAUAAACACAUUUUUCAGUGCUCUGGAUUCUGGAUCUGUUAUGAUUUGAAAGGGUACAGUGAAGUGAAAAGUUGAAAUGGAAAAGAAAAAAAGAAGAAAAGAGGACACUUCUCGCGGUGGUGGCGGCAAAGACUGACGUCGACGACAACACAACUCUCCUCCUCUCCCUAUAUCUCGGCCGAUUUUGGGUUUAUUUUCGUUUUGCAUUCUGUUAUGUGUAGAAGGGAGAAUAAAUAGUGUGGACUUUCCCCGACAUCUUCGAAAACGUUGGGAAAUUUACCUUUCGCCGACGUAUGUAGUACACACGUCGGAGAAAGUUUAAAUAAUAAAUUCAUUAUUUAAACUUUCCCCGACGUACUCCUGUCAUACGAGUCUAAAUUAAAUUUAAUGCGUUCUCCUUCGGCGAUGUGUGUCAAGGUGACGUUGGAAAAAGUUUAAACACUAAUGCAAUUAUUUUAAAUCACAUAUGUUAUCGCUUAUAUGGCAUAAGAGUCUAUUAACGAUAGAAAUCUAUCUUGAUAGGUUUUGCUACAUUUACAAUUUUUAAAAAUAUUCUUAUAUACUUAACUAUUAUUCCUAAAAUUGCUAACCCAUUAUACUUACCCUAAGUUAAAUGUAUAAUGUCAAAAGUAAGUUUACUACGAAGGUAAUCUAUGUGACCCUUUUAUCCUAACGUAGGAAGUUUGUUCCACUCCAUACCAUUAUUGAACUAAAAGGAUUAAGUGUGUAUUAAUAUGUUUAAACAAGUAUAAUUAUAGCAAAAUCUAUAAGUGAUAUAUUGAUAUUAGCAAUACAAUACGCGUCACAUAUGCAAACAUUUUGUGUCUAAUCGUUGUAUUUACAAUUAACUCCAUUAAAAUAUUACAAAUAGAAAUAGAACUCUUUAACUAUGUUCAGUUAGGAUCACAAACUACAAAAUGAAAGCAUGGAACAAAUUUAAUUUUUUUUUUCUUUAAAGGAAAUUUUGUGUGUAGCACAUUAUAUUUUUUUCUUUCCUUUAAAAAACAUUAUUGAUCUUAUGAUAUUUGACAUAUAUUAUAUUUUUUUAAGAAUGUAAAUAAUGUAAAUAAUGUGCCAAAUAAUUGAAAACAUGUUAUCCAAAACAGAGAAUGGUUAAGAAAUUGUUGACAUUUAGUCAAAUUAAUAAAUAAUUCAAAAUUGUGUUUGAUUUUUGAAUUUGAAAAGAUAGUAAAUUAGAAGUGUUUUGAAAUAGUGUUUACGAGAAGAUUUUUAAUUUUAAAUAGCAUUAUAGUAGCUAUGGAUGGUUAUAUAAUAGUCUACACAAUCUUUGUCACAAAUGAUUAAUUCGAUUUUUUAAAUCAAGUCUAAUGUUUUUUUUUUUUUUUUUGCCUAUUUCUUACCAUAAUUUACAUUUUUUGUAAGUAUAAUGGUUGAAUGCAAAAAGAGAGCUGACUAGUAAGUGCAAAAAGAGAUCUCACAAGCUUCUGCAAAAGCUAAUCAAGCAACCCAAAUCAUAAACGAGGAGAAAAGUUGAUUGGUUAAGCUUUGUUGUAGUAAAGAAGUCAAAGUGAACAUGGAACGUUCUUCACUCUCAAAGAACAUCGCCAACAUAUAGAUUAUAUACUUUUUCUGGUAUUGACCCAAAAAACCAAUCCAAGUGUAUUUUUGGUGAGAUGCAUAGUUUAACUAAACCGUGUUAUUACAAAAUUUUUAAUUACUAGGAACUCCUAAUGAAACGAAUACAUUAUUUUUAUAAUUACGAGGUAAAAUGGAAACAUACAAACUACUAAAAAAAGUUGCAAUUCGAUUAUUGGGAUUCAAUCUACUCUCCAUGAAUGUUCUUGAAAUGAGAGUUUUUAAGCAGCUACAACUUGCUUAUGUAUAAAAGCAAAACCCUUCUCAACGCCUACCUUCAGUUUUGGCUUUAGAGCUUCAAGUGAUUUUUGCCCCUACUCAGAUAAACCCUGAAGAUCAGAUGUUACAAAGGCUUCAAUUCCACAUGCAAAAAUCAUGUUCAUGAACCAAAAGCACCUUAAGCUUCUCUUCGAUAUCUUUGAGCUCACUGGAUAAAGAACUGAUUUCUAAAGCAAUCAUCUCUACCAUAUCCUCAUCGUUCCCACUGUCUUUUAAUAAGGUUGGCAUGAUAAUCACAACAAAGAAGAAGAAACUAAGAUCAAUUUAACAAAUUUUAUGUUGGGAAACUUUUUUAAGAACAACUACUUAUAAACCAACCUUAGCUUUGGCCUCACAUUCCUUGAAUUUUCUAAAAGUAGAUACCACCUGUCCGGGCAACCCACACCAACCAACCAAGAGUAAGUUAGUGUGAAAGACACUUAUUUAAUGAAGAAUAUGUAAAAGAGGUCAUUCCAACUGUUACACAUAAUAGUAUUGGAGGCAGAUAACCUUGCCAUACCUCAUCAAGUUCUGAUAUUGAUUGAGCUAGUUUUUGAUACUCUGUGGGGUUUGAGACAAUAUCUGGAUUGACCAGCUUAACCUAAAUAAUAAUAUCGAUAGUGAUUAUUGUGUAGGAAAAUAUUAAAGCUAUAACCAAAUCAAAAGCAUAAUUGGAAAUACAGGGACGUCAACUGUUUUAGUAGGGGAGAAUGUCAAGAGCAUGCUUGUCCAAGGCAUUGUUUGCCCAUGGCCGCAUGGCCGAACAUCCUCAAACCACCUUAUAUUUAUGUCUUAUACUUAGUUUAGCCAUUUUGUUUCCUUUUGUUGUCGCCGACCUAGGGUGUGACGUUUCAAAAUUUUCAUAUGCAAGUCUAUCAUAACUAAAAAUGUUUAAAAUGUACUAUAGGGAAGACAUAGUAGUUGAAUCCCUGACCAAGCCUUGUUGCACUCUUUGCAUUCUAAUCUUUCUUUGCAAUUAACAGUCUUCAAUGCUUUCUUUAACGAUGUUUUCAAUUCUUUUCUUCUCUUCUUGUCUUAUAAAAAUAAAUUUCUCUCAAAACAUGAAAGAGGCUAUACCGUACUGCGUGCUUUUUGCGACUUCUGGAUUUCAUACAGCUUACUUGUUCACCGAGCUAGAACAAACGUCGCAUAAUCACCAUCCCCUAUUUGAAAAUUUACGAUUAUGACAGCAUGCGGUGAGGUGCACGCGGCAUGUGUGGGCCCAAGCCAAGCAUGCAACUGGCAUUCUGAUACUCUAUGCACGUGCAUGCUGCCUGCGCCCAUGCCGUGCAGCCAGCAUUGUCAUGACGUAGUUUUUGGGAUGUUUGGUGUUUUGGGAAAUUUUGAGCAAAUUCUGGAUGUUCGAGCAUGCGGAUGUUCUAUGCAAUGCAACCAGCAGCCCAUAUGUUCUAUGUUCUCUUUACGGUCGUAUGUACACAUUUGGUUAACUCUACUACUAAUGGGAAAGUUGACGAGCCUAUGCUGAAUUCAUCAGGAAAGGUGUACUUUAUUGAGCCCAUUGAGGAGAAGGAUACCUUCUUUUUUCGAAGAGGUGUUUCAAUGCCUAGGCCGUCUUUUGACAAUGAGGUGUUAAUAUUACCUAGACUUCAUGCUAAGAACGGGUUGUGAAUUUAUAAUCAAGAAUGCAGUUCGAGUAUCAUGUCUUUCAAAUGAUUUCCAACAGCUUGAAUGUUUCUAUAAGACAAGAAUUUAUGCUUAACUGUUUUAGAAAGCAUGUUUUAUAAAAAUUGUCACUCACUAAGUCUUUCGACUUAUCCUUUCAAAUCAUUUCUCACUUUUCAGGUAUGGAUUAUGCAUUCCCUAAUGUUAAGCGUAUUGCUGCUGAGCCAACCAGUUACUAGAAAUUGUUAAGUCAUUUUGAAAGUUAGUUUUGACUUUGUAAGAAAAGUUCAGGAUGAGCAUGUCUAUGUUUAUUGUUAAAGUUCCAAUGUUAUAAGUAGUUUAGUAAAAAGGUCACUGUCAUGUUUAAAGCUUCUGCUGAUGUAUCACAAUAGUUGUAACUAGUGGUUUAAGUUAUUAGUUUGCAUGUAGCUUGUAUCGCUGUUUGUUUUGAGCAUGCAUUCAUGUUGUAACUGGUAGUUAAGUUAGAAAGGUUAGUCGGUUGGUAAGUUUUGCCAAGGUAUGGCAAUCCUUGCCAACCCUCGCACCUUCUUUCAGAGCUAGAUGUUGUUCAGAAAAUAAGGAGCUUUGGGAGGGGGUGGUGACAACAACACCAUCCCACUAGAGUACGCAAUGAUGCAUUAUUGUUUAAUUAAGUCAUAUAUACUUCCACAAUUUGGAUAGGAAUUUAACUCAUUAGAAGGUGUCCUAUAGAAUUUCUCAGUGAAAAGUUCAGAGAAGCUACAAACAAAUGUCACUACCGAACAACAAUCAUAUACAUGGGUUAGGGCUUUGAGCAGUGUGAACACAACUUAAUAAUAAAUAUGAAGUCGUCCUCUUUUCAUCAUUAGUCAGAAGAAUUCUUAAACUUUCUAAAAAUAAUUGUCAAAUAAUUGAUUAUAUAGUAUGCCAUUUAUUUGGAAUACAAUUUUUUCAUUACCAGGAAAGGAGACUUCUCACUAAGUAAAUGUAAAGAGACUAAUGCUAUAAUUUGAAUUGGAAAAUAUAAUUUCAUAAUUAAGCAUCGAAUAGGGACUAGUUAAGAAGUACACACUUUAGUUUGCCAGAGUCCAUGUUCUACACAUGUUAGCCACUCUGUCAUUGGUUUAGCAGUAAAACAAAGGAUGUGUUUAGGAUGUGAGCCACACAAAAGGGAAAGAAAACAGAAGGCGCAGUGAGCCACACAAAAGGGAUCGAAACGAAUGUUCAGAAAUAUCGGAAGGAUCGAAGAAAUAUGGAAGGAAAGACGAGGAAAAACAACAGACCGGAGCAAGUUCAAGAAGGUAGAGAUCCCGAUCUUCAAUGGAAUAGACCCCGAUUCAUGGUUAUUUCGCGCCGAUCGUUAUUUCAAGAUACACAAGUUGACUGACUCAGAGAAGUUAAUGGUAGCGGUAAUCAGUUAUUAGGACCAGCUUUGGAUUGGUAUAGAUCAAUUGAUGAAUUGGAACAAUUCAAGAGUUGGGAAGAUUUGAAGCAAAGGUUGUUGUCCGAUUUCAGACGAUUCGGGAUGGAACACUCGUAGGCAGAUUCUUAAGGAUUAAGCAGGAAACGACAGUAGGGGAAUAUAGAAACAGUUUCGAUAAAUAUUUAGCUCCGGUAGCCUUCCUCCAGACCAUAGUAUUAGAAGAAACCUUUAUGAAUGGGCUAAGCCCAUGGCAUAAAUCCGAAGUUGAAACGCUGGAGCCCAUAGGUUUGGCCAAGAUGAUGUAACUAGCCCUGAAAUUGAAAAUAGAGAGAUGGUUCGUCGAGAAUGUGGGCUUAGUAGUGUUUCGGGAAUGAAUCAACAAUUCAAGCAUAAUAACGUAAAGCAAACCUCGACAGUAACACCCAAUCAGAAACCCACGGAAGGGAGCUGGCCAAUGAGAACGAUUACGUUAAAAAGAGUGACGGCAGAUGAAAAGAGGAGGGAAGGUCCGACCAAGCGUCUUUCCAACGCUGAAUUUCAAGCACGAAGGGAAAACGGUCUGUGUUUUCAGUGUGAGGAGAAGUAUCACGCUGGACAUAGGCGUAAGGUGAAGGAACAGAAGGAAUUACGGAUGUUAGUAGUAAAGGAAAUGGGAGAAGAACUGGAAAUCAUUGAGGAUGAACACUUUGAUGUGGAAACGGAGGCCCAGACCAUUGAAAUUGAAAAAGUGGAGAAUAUGAAUAUAGAGCUACCAUUAACUCAAUUGUGGGGUUAUCCAACCCUGGAACCAUGAAACUGAAAGGGAAGAUAAAAGAGACCAAAGUGGUAAUAAUCAUCGACAGUGGAGCCACCCACAGUUUUAUUGCAAAAAAUUUUGUAACCACCCUUAGCCUACCAAUGACAGAAACGUCCAACUAUGGAGUGAUUUUGGGAUCAGGGGUUGCGGUCAAAGGAAAAGGAAUCCGCAGUAAUGUUGAAGUGACGGUAGGAGAGUGGAAAAUUACAAACAACUUUUUACCCUUGGAAUUAGGGGUGGUUGCACUCAUUGGGCAUGACUGAAUUUGAUAUGAAAAAUUUGGUGAUGACAUUCCGACAUGGAGGAAGGAAGAUAGAGAUAAAGGGGGACCCUAGUGUCACCAAAACCCAAGUGAGCCUAAAGUCUAUAAUUAAGACAUGGGGAGCUGAUAAUCACGGUUAUUUGGUAGAAUGUCGGGCCAUGGAGGGAAGGCUAGCUGAGGAAGGCUUAGAGGAUGAAGAAGUGCCAGCCACUGUUGACAACAUGAUCUCUCCUCUGUUGAGCAAAUUUAAUGAUGUUUUUGAUUGGUUGGAAGAGCUGCCUUCGAAGAGGAACAUUGAGCACCAUAUACCCCUUCAGAAGGGGGUGGAUCCAGUUAAUGUCAGACCUUAUCGUUACGCACAUCGGCAAAAGGAGGAAAUUGAAAGACUAGUUGAUGAAAUGUUGAAGACAGGCAUCAUAUGACCGGGUACCAGUCUGUAUUCCAGCCCAGUCCUUCUCGUGAAAAAGAAAGAUGAUAGCUGGCAAUUUUGUGUAGAUUAUCGGGAGUUGAACAAUGUCACUAUCCCAGAUAAGUUCCCAAUUCCGGUCAUAGAUGAGUUAUUCAAUGAGCUGAAUGGGGCCAACAUGUUUUCGAAGAUUUAUUUAAAGGCGGGUUAUCACCAAAUCAGGAUGCAUCUGAGAGGUGUAGAGAAGACGACCUUUCGAACACAUGAGGGACACUAUGAGAGGUCAUGCCGUUUGAGCUAACCAAUGCCCCCUCUACGUUCCAAGCAUUAAUGAACCACAUCUUUAAGCCUUAUAUGAGAAGAUUCGUAUUAGUGUUUUUCGAUGACAUUUUGGUGUACAACAGGGGAGUAGAAGAACAUGGACAGCAUCUGGAAGUAGUCUUGGAGAUCCUUCGAGAGAAUGAAUUGUAUGUGAAUUUAGCCAAAUGUUGCUUUGCCAAAAGUAGAAUAGGUUAUUUGGGGCAUUUCAUAUCCGAAAAGGGAGCUAAAGUUGAUCCAGAAAAAAUAAGGGCAAUUAGGGAAUGGUCGAUUCCCACUAGUGUGCGAGAAGUUCGAGGUUUCUUAGGACUCAAUUGAUACUAUAGGAAGUUUGGGCAGAAUUAUGGCAGUAUCGAAAGCCCUUUGACACAGCUUUUGAAGACAGGAACUCAUUGUUGGACUGAAGAAGCAAGUGCUGCCUUUGAGAAGUUGAAGAUGGCAAUGAUGAUUCUACCGACGUUAGCUAUGCUGGACUUUAAUCUACCACUCGAGAUAGAAACAUAUGUAUCUUGUUUUGGUGUGGGGCCGUUUUAGUACAAGCCAAGAGACAAAUAUCCUUCUUUAGUAAAACCUUAUGCAUGUGGGAUAGAGCGCGACUGGUUUAUGAAAGAGAAUUGAUAAUAGUAAGUGUUUUGCGGUGCAAAGGUGGAGACCAUAUUUGUUAGGGAAGAAAUUUACAGUGAAAACUGAUCAGAAGUCGCUCAAAUUUCGGCUAGAACAAAGGGUGAUUCAACCCUAAUACCAAAAAUGGAUAGCCAAUCUUUUGGGAUAUUUCAUUUGAGGUAGUCUGCAAUCCUGGGAUUGGAGAAUAAGGCAGCCGAUGCUCUAUCUAGAACACCCCGUAUAGUGCACUUAAAUCAAAUAUCAGCCCCAACACUACUCGAUUUAGUGGUGAGUCAAGAAGAGGAAAAGAGGGAUCAAUACCUACAGGAAAUCCAGAAGAAAAUAGAAAGAACAAAAAGUGAAAGUUCCAAACUUUUCAGUACAGCAAGGGGUAUUGAAAUACAAAGGAAGGUUGGUGAUGUCAAAAACAUCCGUUCUACUACCCACUAUUCAUGCAUACCUAUUCAUGAUUUUGUCUUUGGAGGACAUUCAGGGUUCCUAAGAACGUACAAGAGGAUGACCGGAGAGAUUUACUAGGAAGGAAUGAAGAAAAACAUAAAGAAAUACUAUGAAGAAUGUCUUGUAUGCCAAAGGAAUAAAACACUUGCAUUAUUACCUGCUGGAUUGCUGCUGCCACUUGAGAUUCCUAACACAGUGUGGUCGGAUAUUUCCAUGGAUUUUAUAGAUGGACUUCCAAAAUCAGCUGGAAAAGAAGUGAUUUUUGUGGUUGUAGAUUGUCUGAGUAAGUAUGCACAUUUUUACAGCUAUAAAUCAUUCUUACAUGGCCAGCUUCGUAGCAGAAGUUUUUGUUAAAGAAGUGGUGAGAUUGCACGGGUAUCCGCAGUAAGUUGUAUCGGAUCAAGACAAAAUCUUUAUUAGUCAUUUCUGGAAGGAAAUGUUCAAGUUAGUGGGAACUAAAAUAAAUAGAAGGAAAUGUUCAGGUUAGUGGGAACUAUGCCACAUACACCAAGUUCGAAUAUAGAACUUGCUUCUUACUGAAAAAAUAAUGAUUAUUGGGACUUGCUAUAAAGGGUAUCCAAUACUCGAAGUAAAUGAAUGAUUACAAAAUGAUUGUUUCCUCAGUUUGAAGAAGAACAACAAAAAAGAAAAGAAGGAUAAAAAAAAAAAAAAACAAACUUUCUUUUUGAAAUUCUAAAAGAAUCCAAAAAGACUUCAAAAGGUGCAACCAAGAAAGGAGGUCAAAGAAGGGCUCUGAUAGACCCCCCUAUCAUACGUCAAUAUAGUCGAAAAAAAAAGAGAGAGAUCACAAGGGAACACACAUGCGAAGAAGAAAAGAUUUAAAGGACUGUUAGAAGAAAAGAUUUAAAAAGCUUGUUGGGCGUCGGUUAGAUUUGAGGAGAUUUAGGAGGGUCGUUAGGUGUUGAUUAGAAUAAAUAAGGAUAGGGAGGAAAGAGGAGGGUAUGCUGAGUUUAGAAGAAAAUUGACUCAUGCUCUUCCUUGAGCGAUAGGAUAGCAGAGAGGGAAUUAGAUUGUUUUUCGAAUUGAGUCCUCCUCAAUUUGAGUGUUCUGAUAUUUUGAUUUUCCUUGUAACUCAUUCUUUGAUUGAAGCAAUAAAAGUUCUAAUUGGAUUUCCAAAAGAGUUCUAUCAAAUUGGUAUCAGAGACAGUUUUUUCUGACCAAGAGGAAAAUGAUGGUCCAAACACGAAUGAAGGAGAGAAUGGAGGCGCACGACCAGGAGAUGCAUUUGAUGAGAAGCGAGAUAAGCAAAAUUUCGACAAUGAAAGAAAUAUUAGCCACGAUCAGCGUACAGACAAAGAAGACUCACAAAAUGUUGAUAAUGUUCAUGGAAUCGAUUACCAGAGAGCAUAUCGUUAUGAGUGAGAAAAUGGCCGAGUCGAGUGUGCGAGAGACAGUAUCAACAAUAACGAAUAAGAAGGAAGGCUCGAUCGAAAAGGACCAUGAGCACGAAACAAAGGAUGGAAAGAUAGAAGGAGAAGACGGAGCGAACGAGCAUAAUAAGUUCAAGAAGGUUGAGAUGCCAGUUUUCAACACGGAAGAUACCCAAUUUUUGACCCUUUCGAGCAGAUAGAUAUUUUCAGAUACACAAAUUGACUGAUGCUGAGAAGGUCCUGGUUGCGACCAUUAGUUUUGAAGGCCCGACGCUGAACUAGUAUAGGGCGCAAGAAGUACACGACAAGUUUACCAGUUGGUCGAACCUCAAGGAGAGAAUACUCAUCCGUUUUCAAUCAGCAAAAGAGGGGUCCAUAUGCGGACAAUUUUUUAGGAUCGGAUAACAGACGACAGUAGAAGAAUAUCGAAACCAGUUAUAUAAGCUGAUGGAACCGUUAUCCGAUCUACAAGACAGAGUGGUGGAGGAAACAUUCAUGAACGGUUUACUGCCGUGGAUUAAAGCAGAAGUGGAUUUUUGUCGUCCGGUCGACGUGGCUCAAAUGGUGCACGCGGCUCAACUCGUAGAAAAUCGAGAGAUAAUUCACAAUGAGGCCAACCUUAAGGGGUACGCCCAAGGAAAAUAUCCGCCUCAAGGUUCUAGGCAAAAUACGAGUGCUGCGACGGUGAACGAUAGCGACAAUAAGAGAAAUACAUUAUUUUCGAUGAGAACGAUUACUCUGAGAACGACAUCCAGAGAAGUUAAGAGAGGGGCAGGCAAAGCGAUUGUUAGACGCGGAGUUUUCAAGUCAGGAAGGAAAAAGGACAUUGUUUUCCGUUGUAAUGAGAUAUAUUAUCAUGAUCAUCGAUGCAAAAACAGAGGGCAAAGAGAGUUGAGAAUGUACGUGGUCAGGGCGAAUGAUGAAGAAUUUGAAAUCAUAGAAGAAGUGGGAGAAAAUGAAUUGUUUGGAAAUCACAUAAGAAGAUCAUGUUGUCAUCGAACUGUCAAUUAAUUCGGUGGUGGGGCUGAACAAUCCGAGGACAAUGAAGGUGAGGGGGAAUAUCAGUGAGCGAGAAGUUUUCAUUUUCAUUGAUUGUGGAGCAACGCACAACUUCAUCUCCGAAAAGAUAGUAAAGGAGUUACAACUGGCCACGAAGGCAACGUCGCACUAUGGUGUAAUCUUGGGCUCGGGGAAGGCGAUAAAAGGUAAAGGAGUAUGUGAGGACGUGGAAAUCAAGUUGAACGGGUGGAAGGUGGUGGAAAAUUUGUUACCCUUAGAAUUGAGAGGGGUAGAUGUUGUGUUAGGAAUGCAGUAGUUGUAUUCAUUGGGCAUGACGGAAGUAGAUUGGAGGAACCUCACAAUGACUUUUGUGCAACAAGGAGAAAAGGUAGUGAUAAGAGGAGACCCAAGUUUGACCAAAUCCAGAGUGAGUCUCAAGAACAUGAUCAAAAGUGUGGAAGGAUUCGUGAUCGAGUGCCGAGCAAUGGAGAGAGUCUUUGAGCCACAGGAAGAUAACGGGAUUGAAGAAGUAUUAACUACUGAUGAAGCAGUAUCGGUCGUGUUGAAGAAUUUUGAAGAUGUUUCUAAUUGGCCGAAGACACUACCCCCGCAAAGAAAUAUUGAACAUCACAUUCAUUUGAAACAGGGCACUGAUCUGGUAAAUGUUCGACCCUAUAGAUACGCUUAUCAACAGAAAGCUGAGAUGGACAAACUUGUGGAUGAGAUGUUGACAGCGGGAAUUAUCCGUCCCAGCAACAGUCCAUAUCUAGUCCAGUUCUAUUGGUAAUGAAAAAAGAUGGCAGCUGGCGUUUUUGCGUAGACUACCAAGCGCUGAACAAUGUAACCAUUCCAGACAAAUUCCCUAUUCCGGUGGUUAAGGAGCUUUUCGAAUGAAUUAAAUGAAGCAAACUGGUUUUCAAAGAUUGAUUUGAAGGUGGGGUACCAUCAGAUCAAAAUGUGUGGAGAAGACAUCGAAAAAGCAGCAUUCCGAACACAUGAUGGACACUAUGAAUUUAUGGUUAUGCCAUUCGGCUUAACUAAUGCCACAUCCACUUUCCAAGCUCUGAUGAACUCAACAUUCAAACCAUUUUUGCAGAAGUUCAUAUUAGUGUUUUUCGACGACAUACUAAUCUACAGUGAGAACUUGGAACACCAUUUGAAGCACAUUGGGUUAGCAUUGGAAAUCCUGAGAAAGAAUGAGUUAUAUGCAAACAAGAAGAAGUGCAGCUUCGCACAAGAACGUAUUGAUUAUUUGGGUCAUAUCAUUUCAAGACAAGGAGUUGAAGUGGACCUUGAGAAAAUCAGAGCAAUCACGGAAUGGCCUAUACCCAGUAAUAUAAGAGAGGUACGGGGAUUCCUAGGCCUCACCUGUAACUAAAGAAAGUUCGUUCAGCACUAUGGCUCCAUUGCCGCACCAUUGAUUCAACUACUUAGGAAAGGGGGAUUCCAGUGGACUGAGGAGUCUAAGGAGGCAUUCCAACAACUACAAAAUGCGAUGAUGACCCUGCCCGUUUUGGCGUUGAAAAAAUUUCAAUGCCACAUUUGAAAUGGAAACCGAUGCAUCGGGAUAUGGGGUAGGAGUCGUACUCGUCCAAGCCAAGCGUCCCAUAGCAUACUUUAGUCAUACGUUAGCCUCAAGAGAUAGAGCCAAGCCUGUACAUAAAAGGGAAUUAAUGGCAGUGGUCUUGCAUGUGCAACGAUGGCGACCAUAUCUGUUGGGGAGAAAAUUUAUUGUGAAGACCGAUCAGAAAUCCUUGAAGUUCUUGUUAGAACAAAGAGUGAUACAGCUUCAGUAUCAGAAAUGGGUAGCGAAGCUAACGGGAUACUCAUUUGAGGUGGUCUACAAACUCAGCUUGGAGAAUAAAGCAGUAGACGCCUUGUCUUGGAUGCCUCCUACAAUUAACCUCGGUAGCAUAACAGCUCCUACAUUGGUUGACAUUCUGGUGACUAAAAAGGAAGUCAAAGCGUAUGAAAAAUUAAGCAAAAUAAUGGAAGAACUACAAGCAAUGGAAGAAGUAACAGAGGGUAAAUUCUCCAUCCGACAAGGUAUGUUAAGAUAUAAGGAUAAGUUUGUGUUGUCCAAAACAUCUACAUUGAUACCCACAAUCCUACAUACUUACCAUGAUUCGGUACUUGUGAGGAAUGUGUAAUAUGUCAGAAGAACAAGUCCCUAGUGUAACGAGCAUACUUGUCCAAGGUGUGUUUACCUAUGGCCGUAUGCUCCGAUUAGCCCCAAUUUACCUUGUCUUUAUGUCUUGCACGUAGCUUAGGUAGUUGCUUUCAAUUUCAAGUCGAUAUGCUUGGGUGUGACGUUUCGGCAUUUUCAUAUGUUAAAAAUGUACUAUAGGGGAGGCAUACCUGUUGAAUCCCUGCCCAAGCCUUGUCGUACUCUUUGCAGUCUAUGCUUUCUUAUUGCAAUUGACAGUCUUCAAUGCUUGUUUUAACAACGUUUUCAAUCAAUUUAAUCAUCUUUCAUGUUUUCUAAAACUAUUUUUCCAAGAACGUGAGGGGAGGUUGAAGUAUGUGUUAAAGUUGUCUGCGAUUUGCAGAUUUUGAUCGGCUGACUUGUUCGCCGAGCUAGAACAAGUGCCGCACAAUCGUUCACAAUCGUGUAUGGGUUUCGUAAGGGUUACACAGUAAAGGAAGAGUAAGAAUUUGAGUGGAGAAACUCCAAUUGGGAUCAACACGUGGGCAACAACAUGGCUUCUCACCAACAUGAGAACUCAAAAGAGACAGCAGAUAUUCUAGAGAAGCCAAUGAACUCUUGGGAUGUGAAUCUGCACUUUCCUGCAAUAGUUUGAGUGUGAAUUAGUUCUCUGAAAACACCUGCAGAGGAUAAUCCACGGCAAAACAGAAUAACUAUAAAAAAACCACUUGCAAGUAGAAGAAAAAGGAAGUACAUUUAUACCUUCCCUGUCAAAGUGAUAUCCCUCAUCAACGGAUAUGCAUUUCUUUCCAGGAAGUAGCCAACAAUUUUACAAACCCAUGGGAGUUUAGGUUGUAAUAAGAAAACAAUUGUGUCCAACAAUAGAGUUGCAGGUGUGUUAGAGUUCACAGGUGCAGCCAAAAGUUGAUUCCUCAAUUGGUUUCUAUCAAGAACAACAUCAAGUAAGAAUAAUUCGGAGGAAAAAUAAAGGCAACUUAUCAUAUAUAUAAAUAUGAUUAGUCUGAAUUCGUUUGCGGAAGGUAAAAAAACCUUUAUGUCAAUUAUAUAUAUCUGAACAAAAUCUAAGAAAUAUAUCACUUUUCAACAAAAGAAAUAUAUCAUAUACAAUUAAAGGAUCAUAGCAUAGAAAGCCAACAAAAUCAACAAUGAUAGAUCAAACAUCUGUUUUUCCAUUCAAAACGUUAAAAAGGAUAAGUUUUUAAUAAGGAAUGUUGAAAUGGAAAAAACUAAUUACCUAUUAUGGUGUACAAUCUGGAUGCAAGCAUAUGCAAAUUUCUUAACUCUGUAAUCCACUAAGGCCUUGUUAAGUACAUAAUCCUUGCUAGCGAAAAUGCUCAACAUAUCCCCUAUAUAUGUAAGAGAGAGAAAGGUUAGAAAGUACUAACACUAAGAGAUAUGUGCUAUCAAUUAGAAACACUUUAAGAUGACAUUAUCAAUUAGAAAACCAAGUAUUAAGCAACAUAAGGGAAAAUAACAAACAAGGGCACCACAGUGGUUCAGAAACCAAUCAAUAUUUCCAUUUGUCACUUUUAUAAUAAUUUCCCAAGGGAAAAUCCUCAUAAUAAGCUUGAGUACCACCUAAUAACGUGUUCAAAUGUUACCAUAAGCAAAAAUGAGUGAUCCUAAAAUUCAUAUGACAAGGAAAGUCGUCAACUAGCAACCGCCAAAUAACAGUUAUAUGGCUAGAAUUAGUUUUCUCCAACUUCAAGAAAAUAAAACAUAUUAAAACAAAAGGAAUUAUGGUGCAAAAUAAUGAAUAUGCUGCAAAGGUAAGAAGUUUCUGAAGGUAAAAAUGGUCAAUAAAAAACAACAUAUAAUUUGACGUAAAUCAAAGUAGAAUUAUUUCUCGCAAUGAAUUCUCUGCCAAUAAUGGCUAAGAGAAGGGGUAUUUAUUGAGAAUUAGUUGGCCAGGCAGAAAUCAUCUAGGGCAUAGUAUUGUUUUAGGUCUGCGACAUUAAAAACAUAAUGAAUGUGUAAGUCUGGUGGUAGUUCUAUUUUGUAAGCAUUAUCUCCGAUCCUCUUUAGGACACGGAAUGGUCCUAAUUGUCUGUCUUUUAGUUUGUUGUAUGUUUCGGUUGGAAAUCGAUUUUUUCUUAGGUGAAUCAUUACUAAAUCUCCCUUGGUAAAGGUAGUUUGUCUUCUUUUUCUGUCUGUUGCGUCUUUGUAGGACUGAGUUGUUUCUUUUAGGUGAUUGUGGACUUCUUCGUGUAAAUUCUGGAUUUUUUCUAUCAUCUUUUCUGCCUCUGAUAGUUAGGGAACUCAACACAUUUUACUUGACCUAACCAAGAUGGCUCUUUGUAUGUAUAUUGCAUGUGUUGUUUGUUUUUUUCUAUAGCUCUUGAUUGUCUCACUUUUUUACGUUUUGCAUUUGCAAUUCUCUUUUCUUUCUUUGGUAUGCAAUGUGGUAACAAGGUCUUGCUAGAACCGGUGGGCUAACCUUUCUAUGGUUCUAAACUUAGUUUCUAAGUUUGACUGCUCCCUUCGGAGUGACAACAAGCCUCGUUUUUCUCCCUACUAUGGAACGGGAGGAUUCAUUUUCUUUUCAAAGCCCUCGUCAAACUCAAUGCUAAGUUUGACUGCUCCCUUCGGAGUGACAACAAGCCUUGUUUUCCCCUAAUGUGGAUCGGGGAGGAUUCCUUCUCUUUUCAAAGCCCUCAUCAAACUCGAUGUUGUGUUUAGAACGCUAAGAGUAGGUGGUCUGGUUUUGGUUAGGCCAAAAGUGAAGUUUUCCCCCAUUUUUUAUGGGCUUUUUCUAAUGUAUAUUGGAUAUGUUGUUUGAUUUUUUUUAUAGCUCUUGAUUGUCUUACUGUUUUAUGUUUUGCAUUGUCAAGUCUCUGUUUUCUUUCUUUGGUAUGCAAUGUGGUAACUAGGUCUUGCUAGAACCGGUAGGCUAACCUUUCUAUGGUUCUACAUUUAGUUCCUAAUUAAGUUUGAUUGCUCCCUUCGGAGUGACAAUAAGUUUUGUUAAUGUCGACCCUUUUCUAAAGGGAUUUAGUUCACUGUGGCUAGGCAAGAGGUUUCUAACUCAUGUUUGACAAGACAAAUUUGUUAAAACCAUCUUAGUUUCUAAAGAGUGCCUCCUAUCCCUUUUUUACUCUAUCUAGGCUAGGUUUGGACUAAGUGCAUCAUAGGUAAGUCACGACAAAGCAACAAAGGAAGACAAAGCUAGAAAAGUAUUCAUGCACUUAUUUAUUAUACAUGCAAUCAAGCAUUCACAACAUACAUACCAUUUUCUCAAUCAUGCAUUCACACCUCAAUAAGAAAUAGCUAAAAGGAGCUUACAACAAAAAAGACAGCCGCUUAUUCUCAAAUUUCAGCACAUAUACUCAUCAAAAUUUAGAAUUUCACAUUGCAAACCCGAGCUCAGUGCUCAAGGGUUGCCAAUCAUGCUUUUUAUGCAAGAUCUAAUUAAGCUAAGAAGGUAUAAUGCUCAUUUUGUAUGGAAAGAAUUCUGAAAUUUUUUUUAAAUUUGGGCAAAAUUUGAACCCCGAAGUUUAGACUAAACAUGCAAGCUAAGCAAGCUAUUACCCACACCCACUCAAAAAAUUGCUUUGUCUGUCCUAAAAGCUUUUGAAAAUCAAAGUAAAUGGAGAAAAAUAAGGGGGAACUUUGGACUCCCCUAGAAGGAUCGACAUCCUUGACUUUGGUUUGAAGCUUGCAUGGAUAAACCUUUUCAUUCCUUUUUAAUUGAUUAUUCAUCCUUGUUCCUGAAAAUCAAAGGAAAUUCUCUCAAUUUUAUAUAUUACUAAAAUUAGGAUACAUAUAAGUCUUAACUAGUCUAAUAGCACCCUCCAUUCAUCUUCCCCUACACUGGCUAUGGUAUCAAAAUUUUCAAUUAAGUAAUACGUCUACUAACGAACUUGAAAACAAAACACAUCACACUAAAAAACACAAACAUCACUUUAACCCAACAGAAGCUGCUCUUUUUACCCUUGCACUCACUAUCACAUUACUAUCAUGUUUGUCAACUGUCAAACUAACUCUUUUAAGUUAUUUAGUGUGACUACAAAGUUAUGAACACCAUAAUCUUAAUUAAAACCUUUUAAUAAACAAAUGCCAAGUUACUACUCAACAAUGGCAAGGAAUUCAAAAAACAUGACUGUAACGACCCAACUUUUCUAGGUAAGUCGAAGUCAUUAAUUUCAAAUAAGGACCUGAGUUUACACAAAAUCUCAAUCUCAAACAAUUUCAAAGUCUCAAGAAAAACAAAAAUUAUAUACCUGGGCCCGGUUUAAAAUAACCAGCACCUUCAAGACAAAUUUACUAAUUCGUGAAUACAGUUCAACUAUAAAAUUUUCUAAACAAUCUCAAGUACUAAACAAAACACGUGAAACAAAACAUUUAGCGGAAGCAAUUUAAUAUAAUACCAAUGGCAAUCACGCUUCCUUUCUGCCCCUCGCCGGUUUGCCGUCUUUAUUACCUUUGCCUGAAAAUUAAACAUAAGGAGGGUGAGUAUAAAAAUACCCAGUACGAGACCCUCUACUGGUCCCGUCAGGGGAAAAUAAAUUGUUAACAUUCUAUUGGGACACCCUGUACAGUCACAGUCUUGUGAUCCCGUAGGAUGCACAUUUCAGUCUAACGCCCCGAGGGACGUACAUUUUCAGUCUAGUGUUCUGCAGAAACACAUAUCAGUCUAAUGCUCUUGAAGGUGCAGAAUAAUUGGUGAUCCGUGUGACACCUACAAGGCACACAUCCCAAUAAAAGCUAACAAUUUUUCCCCUCAGUCCAUUCUAAACAUCUUAACAGUCAUUCACAGAUCAGUUAAACAUUCUCAUCACGUAAACUCUUUAUUUAACCUCAAACAGUCGUCUUACUCUAAUUUAGUCCAAGGUCAAUAAAAAAACAUAUCAUUACAUCAGUUAACAAGCUAAACAAUCAUAACCUCCUCCUCAGUCACCAAGGGCACCACCAUGACGUUUCUUCCGUUCACAAGCACACAACAUAACAGUAGAUUAUACACUCAGUCUAGACAACAAUCAAUCUACUAAUCAAAUCCACACUUUAUAUAAGCAACAUCUACGAGAUUCAGUCGUUUCCACAUCCUUAUCUUUGUACACAUACAUAACCAGACAGUCACAACAUAUACUCAACCACAGUCUACAUCAAUCCAUGCACAUAUAUGUAUUAAUUUCUCCCAGUCAAACAUAGCAAACAUUAAACUUUAAGUCAAUGCCCAAACAUACAUCAUAACAGUCAUCUCUACUCAGUUCAAUAUCAAAUCAAUACAUCUUAAUUAGUCAUUAUAUCUUAAUUUUGUUGUUGAGUCUAGUAGAAAAUCCCUUACUUUCAAGUUAGUUAAGCUCCUUAACCACGUUGAAGUCUACGAAGAACGAACCUAAACAUUAAGACAAUUUCUCAAUAAUUCUCUUCAAGGCAUCAAUCAUUUAAAUUCAACCCAAUGUGAUUUUUUUUUUACAACUUACCCAAAUCUUCACAAAACGAGUUCCAACUAGAAUCAAUUGUUUGCUGCGAACCCAAUGAAUUCGAGUGUUACCUUCAACCUAUAAUCGAACAGUAAACGAUUUAUCCAACCAAUUAUUCCAGCAAUAUUACUUGAGUUUAUUUUGGAAACAGUUACAAAUUUCAUAACUUCAAUCUUACCAAUCAAAAUUUAAUGACUCGUGGCAAAGCAGGAACGACAGCGAACAACCCAAUCGAAUGGCGUGGGUUUGCUACCUGCGGCAGGACGAAGAAGGAACUCGACGCGCAGAAAGUUGGAUCUGGGGUCUUUAGUUCGGUUCACGGUAGCGAAUUAAAACCUGAUUGCGCGGACGUCAAAGGUGUUAUUCGCGGAAGAAGUCGAGCAGCAGCUUUGCGAAGAGACGACGUGCGACGGAGAGACUGUAUACAGACGGACGGAGAGUCGCGCGGCAGUGCAGAAAACGGAGGAGAAAGGAAUGGGCGGCGGCUGGGCUUGGCUUCGACGGAGACAGAGGCGAUUAGGACGGGGCACGGCGACGCAGAUCUGGACGACGGCGCGGAGACAGAGGUUGCGCGGCGCUGGGCAGAGGGUCAAACGGCGCUGGGCGAAGGGUCACACGGCGCUGGGCGGAAGGUCACACGGCGGCCUUGCUUCGCGCGAACAGAGAUGGCGGCCGACGGUUGCAGCGGCGGCUGGGUAUGGUAGAAAAGAAAGAGAAACGGAAGAAGAAUAGGGGCGGCGACCGUGGAUCGGAGAAGAAAAGAAGGAGGAAAGCGAUGGUGGUCGGUUGGAGGGUGCGGCUGGAGGUAGGGAUCGGUGAAGGAGAAAAUAGAAAAAGAAAAUGAAGGGGAAAUGGGGGUUGCGCGCGGGAGGAAGAAGAAAGGAAAAAAAAUUCUUUUUUUUUUUUUUUCUUUUAUUUAAAUUAAAUAAUAAAACUAAAAUAUAAAUAAAUAUAUAUAUAAUUAUAUUAUCACAUUUUCAAAUCUUCUUUCUCCCCCUUCAUCAUAUUUUCUUCAAAAAAAUAAAUCUUGUACAAAUCGAAUAAUUUUCUUUAAAAUAAAUUACCUUCGAGUUUGGGGCGUUACAAUGACAGCUAUAUUGUAACUUGGCACUUGGGGACUUUAAUGGUGUCAAUAUUGUAACUUCUGGUGCCAUGACAAAUAUUGGUGACUGUCAAGAUAAGUUCGCAUAGCCACCGAAAGAUACAUCGUUGCUUUUGAAGAAUGACAAGACUCUAAAUGAUAUAUGCAGCAUUAUUUUGGUUAUAUCCAAUCUUCUUUGAAGGCUAUGUACUUGAAGAUUUUAAUCAAUAAAUAAAAUGAAGUUUAAUUUUUAAAAUAAUAACAUUACAAUGGGAUGGCGAUUGGAAUUGAUUACUUUGGUUAAAAUUUAAGAUUAGAUUAAAAAAAUCAAUUAAUAGAUAAUUCCAUCCAAUCAAAAUAACUAAAUAAAAGACGAGAUUUGAAAAUAUAAUAUCCUAAUAGACACUAAUAGACUUAUAUUAAUAGAUAAUUUCCUGCCGAUGAAAAAUUACUAAAGUUGUACUAUAUUUUAUAAAUAUUUCAAAACAUUACAUAAACACUAAUUAAAGUUGGGUUUAGUAGCAAAAGGUUACAAAUUUAUUGACACCUUUUUUAGGAAAAAAAAUACCUUGACAUGAUGUAAACUAAAUUUGUAAUCAGCAUUGAAAUCUUUACUAUACUAAAUGGGCUCGUGGAGAAAAAAUUAUAUACAUCUAUUUUAUUCUUAAAUUGUCGAAAAAAAAUUAUAUUACCUUUUGUGAUCUAACGUAGUUGUGACUUUUAUAGUGUAAGUGUCCAUUUUAAUGUUUGGAAAGAUGAUUUUUCCAAUUUUUUAGUUUACAAAAUAAAGUUCUAUAUUUCAUAAAAUAAAACCUUAUGUUGAAUAUAUGUAACUAAUGUUGAUAGGAUGUGAUUGGUUGAUCUUCAAGAUACGAUGCAUUCUGUUUAGAGUGGAGAUGGUUGCACACACAUCAAAUUGGUGCAUUGAUUCCUCCAAAUUUACAUGUGAAAUGUAAAUGUAAAAGAAAAACAAAACAAACUCUUGCAGUUACACAUUAGGAAAAAAAAACGUCACGAAAUUCCAAAGUUCAAAGAAAACAAACAUACACAGGGAUUUAAUUGAUUCAAAGUAGUAACAAAUGGUGAAAAAAUGCAUAAUUUGUUGUGAUUUCACAUUAACAUGUUAGAAUAAAAAAUUAUCGUAUUCUAUAUAUUACAAUAUUGGAUCAAAUAUUAAUACAUUAAUUUAAUUAUUUAAUUACUACAUCAAUGAAUUUCUUUUUCUUUUUUAAAUAAUAAUUUUACCAUUAAUAUUAUAUAAUAUUUGUUUAUUAUAUGCUAAAGCAUAUUUAAAAAUUAAAUAGAAUUAAGAGAUUUCACGUGAAUUUAUGCACAUGUUUCAACUGAAAAGAUGGAAACAAUAGUCACAAAUUAUUUUUUCCUAAAACAAAACAUUCGUAACCAAAUCUAAAUAUGCACUUUCAUAACUAAGGACCAAAACUCAUAUUACGUAGAAUUGAGCAUGGUUUAAAUGAAAUUAUUAACAAAAUACUUACACUUUAAACCAGGUUUUUUGGCAACAUACAUAGUGAGAAAAUUCCAAAUUUACCCUCUUACUUGUAUCUUUUCAAUAAAAAGUGCAUCUUAGUUGUAAUUAUGUCAAAAUAAAAAUAAAAAAAUAACUCGUCAGUUAACGUGGUUAUUCAUUAAUUGAUUUGGGUGAACUUUCUGAAGAUAAAAAUAACAAAAACAAACAAACAAAAGACUAGAACAUGUUAUUUAAUUAUGUAAUUACAACUUCCCUUUCUCCUCCGUGAGAAAAAAAACCAUUUCUCUAAAUUUCAUCUAUAUAUGUGUAUUGAUCAAAUGACCCAUAUCAAUAAGGACACAAAAUUGGCAAAGAACAAAUAAAUUAAAAUGGACAAUAACUCUUGUUUCAUUACUUUCUCUCUCAUUGGAGUUCUUUUGUUCACCAUCAUUUCAAAUGUGGCAUCAUCUAACGACGUUGUUUCUACCAUCUGUUCAGAAAUCUCAAAUCCACAAUUUUGUUUAAGUGUGUUGAAAUCUGCAGGCACUACAGAUCUAAAAGGCUUGGCUGUAUACACCUUAAACCUUGCUCAUUCAAAUGCUGGCAAAUCUUUGAUCCUAGCCAACUCACUAGCAAAAGCCACCACCAAUCCUCAACUUAAGCAACGAUAUUCAUUUUGUGCUGAGAGCUAUGAUGAAGUUGUUGGUGACAUUGAAAAUGCUCAAAACGACUUGGCACUUGGGGACUUUAUUGGUGUCAUUAUUGCAACUACUGGUGCCAUGACAACUCUUGGUGAUCACUGUCAGAAUAAGCUCUUGCAGCCGCCGAAGGAUACAUCGUUGCUUUUAAAGAAUAGCAACACUCUAGAUGAUAUAUUUAGCAUUAUUAUGGUUAUAUCCGAUCAUCUUUGAGGGUUAUGUACUUGAACAUUUUGAUCAAUAAAUAAACUGAAGUUUAAUUUUUAAAAUAAUAUUACAAUGUGAUGGUGAUUGGAAUUGAUUACUUACUUUGAUUAAACUUGAGAAGAUAAAGAAAAUCAAUUAAUAGAAACGUUCACCGACACACAUUGUCAGCACGUCGGAGAAAGCCUAAACUUUUUUUCUUUUCUUUUACGUUCUGUUUUCUUUUCUUUGUUUGCCAUCAUCAUCGUCAUCUUCUUCUUCUUCUAGCUUCUUACGUUCUGUUUCAAUUGCAUACUUCUGUUAUUCUUGUAAUUUCUUCGUGGUUUUCUUUUUAACUUUGUGUUUCAGUGUGGAUUCAUAAACACAUUUUUCAGUGCUCUGGAUUCUGGAUCUGUUAUGAUUUGAAAGGGUACAGUGAAGUGAAAAGUUGAAAUGGAAAAGAAAAAAAAGAAGAAAAGAGGACACUUCUCGCGGUGGUGGCGGCAAAGACUGACGUCGACGACAACACAACUCUCCUCCUCUCCCUAUAUCUCGGCCGAUUUUGGGUUUAUUUUCGUUUUGCAUUCUGUUAUGUGUAGAAGGGAGAAUAAAUAGUGUGGACUUUCCCCGACAUCUUCGAAAACGUUGGGAAAUUUACCUUUUCGCCGACGUAUGUAGUACACACGUCGGAGAAAGUUUAAAUAAUAAAUUCAUUAUUUAAACUUUCCCCGACGUACUCCUGUCAUACGAGUCUAAAUUAAAUUUAAUGCGUUCUCCUUCGCGAUGUGUGUCAAGGUGACGUUGGAAAAAGUUUAAACACUAAUGCAAUUAUUUUAAAUCACAUAUGUUAUCGCUUAUAUGGCAUAAGAGUCUAUUAACGAUAGAAAUCUAUCUUGAUAGGUUUUGCUACAUUUACAAUUUUUAAAAAAUAUUCUUAUAUACUUAACUAUUAUUCCUAAAAUUGCUAACCCAUUAUACUUACCCUAAGUUAAAUGUAUAAUGUCAAAAGUAAGUUUACUACGAAGGUAAUCUAUGUGACCCUUUUAUCCUAACGUAGGAAGUUUGUUCCACUCCAUACCAUUAUUGAACUAAAAGGAUUAAGUGUGUAUUAAUAUGUUUAAACAAGUAUAAUUAUAGCAAAAUCUAUAAGUGAUAUAUUGAUAUUAGCAAUACAAUACGCGUCACAUAUGCAAACAUUUUGUGUCUAAUCGUUGUAUUUACAAUUAACUCCAUUAAAAUAUUACAAAUAGAAAUAGAACUCUUUAAUCUAUGUUCAGUUAGGAUCACAAACUACAAAAUGAAAGCAUGGAACAAAUUUAAUUUUUUUUUUCUUUAAAGGAAAUUUUGUGUGUAGCACAUUAUAUUUUUUUCUUUCCUUUAAAAAACAUUAUUGAUCUUAUGAUAUUUGACAUAUAUUAUAUUUUUUUAAGAAUGUAAAUAAUGUAAAUAAUGUGCCAAAUAAUUGAAAACAUGUUAUCCAAAACAGAGAAUGGUUAAGAAAUUGUUGACAUUUAGUCAAAUUAAUAAAUAAUUCAAAAUUGUGUUUGAUUUUUGAAUUUGAAAAGAUAGUAAAUUAGAAGUGUUUUGAAAUAGUAUUUACGAGAAGAUUUUUAAUUUUAAAUAGCAUUAUAGUAGCUAUGGAUGGUUAUAUAAUAGUCUACACAAUCUUUGUCACAAAUGAUUAAUUCGAUUUUUUAAAUCAAGUCUAAUGUUUUUUUUUUUUUUUUGCCUAUUUCUUACCAUAAUUUACAUUUUUUGUAAGUAUAAUGGUUGAAUGCAAAAAGAGAGCUGACUAGUAAGUGCAAAAAGAGAUCUCACAAGCUUCUGCAAAAGCUAAUCAAGCAACCCAAAUCAUAAACGAGGAGAAAAGUUGAUUGGUUAAGCUUUGUUGUAGUAAAGAAGUCAAAGUGAACAUGGAACGUUCUUCACUCUCAAAGAACAUCGCCAACAUAUAGAUUAUAUACUUUUUCUGGUAUUGACCCAAAAAACACAAUCCAAGUGUAUUUUUGGUGAGAUGCAUAGUUUAACUAAACCGUGUUAUUACAAAAUUUUUAAUUACUAGGAACUCCUAAUGAAACGAAUACAUUAUUUUUAUAAUUACGAGGUAAAAUGGAAACAUACAAACUACUAAAAAAGUUGCAAUUCGAUUAUUGGGAUUCAAUCUACUCUCCAUGAAUGUUCUUGAAAUGAGAGUUUUUAAGCAGCUACAACUUGCUUAUGUAUAAAAGCAAAACCCUUCUCAACGCCUACCUUCAGUUUUGGCUUUAGAGCUUCAAGUGAUUUUUGCCCCUACUCAGAUAAACCCUGAAGAUCAGAUGUUACAAAGGCUUCAAUUCCACAUGCAAAAAUCAUGUUCAUGAACCAAAAGCACCUUAAGCUUCUCUUCGAUAUCUUUGAGCUCACUGGAUAAAGAACUGAUUUCUAAAGCAAUCAUCUCUACCAUAUCCUCAUCGUUCCCACUGUCUUUUAAUAAGGUUGGCAUGAUAAUCACAACAAAGAAGAAGAAACUAAGAUCAAUUUAACAAAUUUUAUGUUGGGAAACUUUUUUAAGAACAACUACUUAUAAACCAACCUUAGCUUUGGCCUCACAUUCCUUGAAUUUUCUAAAAGUAGAUACCACCUGUCCGGGCAACCCACACCAACCAACCAAGAGUAAGUUAGUGUGAAAGACACUUAUUUAAUGAAGAAUAUGUAAAAGAGGUCAUUCCAACUGUUACACAUAAUAGUAUUGGAGGCAGAUAACCUUGCCAUACCUCAUCAAGUUCUGAUAUUGAUUGAGCUAGUUUUUGAUACUCUGUGGGGUUUGAGACAAUAUCUGGAUUGACCAGCUUAACCUAAAUAAUAAUAUCGAUAGUGAUUAUUGUGUAGGAAAAUAUUAAAGCUAUAACCAAAUCAAAAGCAUAAUUGGAAAUACAUCAAAGAUGUAAAUGCAAAUUUCAAAAGUGGAUCUACAGAAUGUAAGGGGAAGAAACUCAAAUAAAAUUACUUUAUUAGUUAUACGACUACUAUAGAGAUUCCAGAUACACCACAGUUCCACGUCCUCUUUCAGGAGGAAAGCAAUGGUUAAAAAUUAAUUGUGAAAACUAAAGAAGGUCCUGUUCAAAUCCUAACAGCAAUAGGAAAGCAAGGAGUUAUAAGGUGAUCACUAUAGCCAAAUCCAAAAUGCAUUCAAUAUUUGUCUUCCAAUUUCAUUAUCAAGUGCAUAGGCAAGGUCCCUAGUGAGGAAGUUAUUCGUUCUUUUCUUCAUUUUCUAUAGCUCUAGAAGUAGCUAAAUGGAAUCGUCAAGCACCUAAUCUAUUAAUUUUAAAACUCAAAAGUUCACCGCGGGAUUCUAGUCACUGCUGAAACAACAUAGAGUUCACUAGUUCCACAGUUAAAUUAAUUGCAAAUUGCAUUUCCUGGCAUUUUCAAGAAAAAAAAAAUGCACAAAUCAUAAUAUGAUGAAGUAGAAAAAUUUUGUGAGCUCGACUUUUCCAGGACAUAUCUUAGCUACUUCUCCUAUUCCAGCUCGAUAACCAUUGUACUUUAACAAUUGAAACAUUAAUCCAAUAGUUAACAAUGUUCUGCACUUUAUGCCCUUACAUUUCCAACAACUUGAUGCAUACAUCAGUAGUUAACACAGGCACGAGCUCUUAAAUUCAAUGCAAAAUAACAGUCCCAUUCCAAGCAUAGACACCAAAUACAAACAAUUGAUGGACUUGAAUCAGUGAAGAAAUAAGAAUGUCAUUUAACAGCAAAGCACAAAUUACCGAUAAUUUUUUCCACGUCUUCUCAGCAGAUUCCAAUUUCACGAUCAAAUAAGGUUCCUAAAAUAAAGCAAUCACCAUCAUCAUUUUCCACAAAUAUGAUUCGAACUAGUUUUACCACAAAUUAAUUUCUAGUAACUUGAAGAAAAACUCAGUGAACUCAAAGCAUAACGAAACUCAAGUUCUGUUAAAGCCAAUCCGAACAAUAAGAUAUAGACAUAUUGUGUUCUCGAAAGAAAAACAUUCAAUAAAUCUAACAGCCAUGCAAAUUAGAGUUGAAGCUCUAAAGGGAGGUGCAAAGCAUUUAAGUUCCAGAGAGCAUCUUCUGAAGGCGAUGAGCCCAUAAGAUGAAAAAAAGGCCUCAAGUGAGGAAGAAAGACGCCAUCCAAACAUGAAAAAAGGAAGAAAGGCAAGAUUUUGGUAGCUCCAGACCUGAGGGAAGCCAACAAGGUGGCGAGGGAGGCAAGGCCCCAAAGUUUAGCAUUGCCAGCAAAGUGAAGGUAGAGAAGGACCUUUCCUUUCGACGUGGCCCUCCGAGAGUUUAUGGACGCCCCAAUUGGGGCGUUUGGAUGGAGUAAGUUCUUCAAGGGACUUCCAAGAUUCGAUGGAGGUUGUCAAGAAAUUCUACGCAUCAGAUUACAACCACUACAAGGAAUUUCAGAUCAACCAACACAAUUUAACACUAUUGGGAGAAUCCACGAAUUCUUGGUCAAGUAGAAGAACCUCCAUGUGGAAGAAACAAAUUGUGAACGUGUCGAAGACCUUGAAGUGUGGAAAUGGAAGAUCAAAGAGUUCCAGCUUCGCCAGUCGACAGGGACGUCAACUGUUUAAGUAGGGGAGAAUGUCAAGAGCAUGCUUGUCCAAGGCAUUGUUUGCCCAUGGCCGCAUGGCCGAACAUCCUCAAACCGCCUUAUAUUUAUGUCUUAUACUUAGUUUAGCCAUUUUGUUUCCUUUUGUUGUCGCCGACCUAGGGUGUGACGUUUCAAAAUUUUCAUAUGCAAGUCUGUCAUAGCUAAAAAUGUUUAAAAUGUACUAUAGGGAAGACAUAGUAGUUGAAUCCCUGACCAAGCCUUGUUGCACUCUUUGCAUUCUAAUCUUUCUUUGCAAUUAACAGUCUUCAAUGCUUUCUUUAACGAUGUUUUCAAUUCUUUUCUUCUCUUCUUGUCUUAUAAAAAUAAAUUUCUCUCAAAACAUGAAAGAGGCUAUACCGUACUGCGUGCUUUUUGCGACUUCUGGAUUUCAUACAGCUUACUUGUUCACCGAGCUAGAACAAACGUCGCAUAAUCACCAUCCCCUAUUUGAAAAUUUACGAUUAUGACAGCAUGCGGUGAGGUGCACGCGGCAUGUGUGGGCCCAAGCCAAGCAUGCAACUGGCAUUCUGAUACUCUAUGCACGUGCAUGCUGCCUGCGCCCAUGCCGUGCAGCCAGCAUUGUCAUGACGUAGUUUUUGGGAUGUUUGGUGUUUUGGGAAAUUUUGAGCAAAUUCUGGAUGUUCGAGCAUGCGGAUGUUCUAUGCAAUGCAACCAGCAGCCCAUAUGUUCUAUGUUCUCUUUACGGUCGUAUGUGCACAUUUGGUUAACUCUACUACUAAUGGGAAAGUUGACGAGCCUAUGCUGAAUUCAUCAGGAAAGGUGUACUUUGUUGAGCCCAUUGAGGAGAAGGAUACCUUCUUUUUUCGAAGAGGUGUUUCAAUGCCUAGGCCGUCUUUUGACAAUGAGGUGUUAAUAUUACCUAGACUUCAUGCUAAGAACGGGUUGUGAAUUUAUAAUCAAGAAUGCAGUUCGAGUAUCAUGUCUUUCAAAUGAUUUCCAACAGCUUGAAUGUUUCUAUAAGACAAGAAUUUAUGCUUAACUGUUUUAGAAAGCAUGUUUUAUAAAAAUUGUCACUCACUAAGUCUUUCGACUUAUCCUUUCAAAUCAUUUCUCACUUUUCAGGUAUGGAUUAUGCAUUCCCUAAUGUUAAGCGUAUUGCUGCUGAGCCAACCAGUUACUAGAAAUUGUUAAGUCAUUUUGAAAGUUAGUUUUGACUUUGUAAGAAAAGUUCAGGAUGAGCAUGUCUAUGUUUAUUGUUAAAGUUCCAAUGUUAUAAGUUAGUUUAGUAAAAAGGUCACUGUCAUGUUUAAAGCUUCUGCUGAUGUAUCACAAUAGUUGUAACUAGUGGUUUAAGUUAUUAGUAAAAGCAUGUAGCUUGUAUCGCUGUUUGUUUUGAGCAUGCAUUCAUGUUGUAACUGGUAGUUAAGUUAGAAAGGUUAGUCGGUUGGUAAGUUUUGCCAAGGUAUGGCAAUCCUUGCCAACCCUCGCACCUUCUUUCAGAGCUAGAUGUUGUUCAGAAAAUAAGGAGCUUUGGGAGGGGGUGGUGACAACAACACCAUCCCACUAGAGUACGCAAUGAUGCAUUAUUGUUUAAUUAAGUCAUAUAUACUUCCACAAUUUGGAUAGGAAUUUAACUCAUUAGAAGGUGUCCUAUAGAAUUUCUCAGUGAAAAGUUCAGAGAAGCUACAAACAAAUGUCACUACCGAACAACAAUCAUAUACAUGGGUUAGGGCUUUGAGCAGUGUGAACACAACUUAAUAAUAAAUAUGAAGUCGUCCUCUUUUCAUCAUUAGUCAGAAGAAUUCUUAAACUUUCUAAAAAUAAUUGUCAAAUAAUUGAUUAUAUAGUAUGCCAUUUAUUUGGAAUACAAUUUUUUCAUUACCAGGAAAGGAGACUUCUCACUAAGUAAAUGUAAAGAGACUAAUGCUAUAAUUUGAAUUGGAAAAUAUAAUUUCAUAAUUAAGCAUCGAAUAGGGACUAGUUAAGAAGUACACACUUUAGUUUGCCAGAGUCCAUGUUCUACACAUGUUAGCCACUCUGUCAUUGGUUUAGCAGUAAAACAAAGGAUGUGUUUAGGAUGUGAGCCACACAAAAGGGAAAGAAAACAGAAGGCGCAGUGAGCCACACAAAAGGGAUCGAAACGAAUGUUCAGAAAUAUCGGAAGGAUCGAAGAAAUAUGGAAGGAAAGACGAGGAAAAAACAACAGACCGGAGCAAGUUCAAGAAGGUAGAGAUCCCGAUCUUCAAUGGAAUAGACCCCGAUUCAUGGUUAUUUCGCGCCGAUCGUUAUUUCAAGAUACACAAGUUGACUGACUCAGAGAAGUUAAUGGUAGCGGUAAUCAGUUAUUAGGACCAGCUUUGGAUUGGUAUAGAUCAAUUGAUGAAUUGGAACAAUUCAAGAGUUGGGAAGAUUUGAAGCAAAGGUUGUUGUCCGAUUUCAGACGAUUCGGGAUGGAACACUCGUAGGCAGAUUCUUAAGGAUUAAGCAGGAAACGACAGUAGGGGAAUAUAGAAACAGUUUCGAUAAAUAUUUAGCUCCGGUAGCCUUCCUCCAGACCAUAGUAUUAGAAGAAACCUUUAUGAAUGGGCUAAGCCCAUGGCAUAAAUCCGAAGUUGAAACGCUGGAGCCCAUAGGUUUGGCCAAGAUGAUGUAACUAGCCCUGAAAUUGAAAAUAGAGAGAUGGUUCGUCGAGAAUGUGGGCUUAGUAGUGUUUCGGGAAUGAAUCAACAAUUCAAGCAUAAUAACGUAAAGCAAACCUCGACAGUAACACCCAAUCAGAAACCCACGGAAGGGAGCUGGCCAAUGAGAACGAUUACGUUAAAAAGAGUGACGGCAGAUGAAAAGAGGAGGGAAGGUCCGACCAAGCGUCUUUCCAACGCUGAAUUUCAAGCACGAGGGAAAACGGUCUGUGUUUUCAGUGUGAGGAGAAGUAUCACGCUGGACAUAGGCGUAAGGUGAAGGAACAGAAGGAAUUACGGAUGUUAGUAGUAAAGGAAAUGGGAGAAGAACUGGAAAUCAUUGAGGAUGAACACUUUGAUGUGGAAACGGAGGCCCAGACCAUUGAAAUUGAAAAAGUGGAGAAUAUGAAUAUAGAGCUGUCCAUUAACUCAAUUGUGGGGUUAUCCAACCCUGGAACCAUGAAACUGAAAGGGAAGAUAAAAGAGACCAAAGUGGUAAUAAUCAUCGACAGUGGAGCCACCCACAGUUUUAUUGCAAAAAAUUUUGUAACCACCCUUAGCCUACCAAUGACAGAAACGUCCAACUAUGGAGUGAUUUUGGGAUCAGGGGUUGCGGUCAAAGGAAAAGGAAUCCGCAGUAAUGUUGAAGUGACGGUAGGAGAGUGGAAAAUUACAAACAACUUUUUACCCUUGGAAUUAGGGGUGGUUGCACUCAUUGGGCAUGACUGAAUUUGAUAUGAAAAAUUUGGUGAUGACAUUCCGACAUGGAGGAAGGAAGAUAGAGAUAAAGGGGGACCCUAGUGUCACCAAAACCCAAGUGAGCCUAAAGUCUAUAAUUAAGACAUGGGGAGCUGAUAAUCACGGUUAUUUGGUAGAAUGUCGGGCCAUGGAGGGAAGGCUAGCUGAGGAAGGCUUAGAGGAUGAAGAAGUGCCAGCCACUGUUGACAACAUGAUCUCUCCUCUGUUGAGCAAAUUUAAUGAUGUUUUUGAUUGGUUGGAAGAGCUGCCUUCGAAGAGGAACAUUGAGCACCAUAUACCCCUUCAGAAGGGGGUGGAUCCAGUUAAUGUCAGACCUUAUCGUUACGCACAUCGGCAAAAGGAGGAAAUUGAAAGACUAGUUGAUGAAAUGUUGAAGACAGGCAUCAUAUGACCGGGUACCAGUCUGUAUUCCAGCCCAGUCCUUCUCGUGAAAAAGAAAGAUGAUAGCUGGCAAUUUUGUGUAGAUUAUCGGGAGUUGAACAAUGUCACUAUCCCAGAUAAGUUCCCAAUUCCGGUCAUAGAUGAGUUAUUCAAUGAGCUGAAUGGGGCCAACAUGUUUUCGAAGAUUUAUUUAAAGGCGGGUUAUCACCAAAUCAGGAUGCAUCUGAGAGGUGUAGAGAAGACGGCCUUUCGAACACAUGAGGGACACUAUGAGUUCUUGGUCAUGCCGUUUGAGCUAACCAAUGCCCCCUCUACGUUCCAAGCAUUAAUGAACCACAUCUUUAAGCCUUAUAUGAGAAGAUUCGUAUUAGUGUUUUUCGAUGACAUUUUGGUGUACAACAGGGGAGUAGAAGAACAUGGACAGCAUCUGGAAGUAGUCUUGGAGAUCCUUCGAGAGAAUGAAUUGUAUGUGAAUUUAGCCAAAUGUUGCUUUGCCAAAAGUAGAAUAGGUUAUUUGGGGCAUUUCAUAUCCGAAAAGGGAGCUAAAGUUGAUCCAGAAAAAAUAAGGGCAAUUAGGGAAUGGUCGAUUCCCACUAGUGUGCGAGAAGUUCGAGGUUUCUUAGGACUCAAUUGAUACUAUAGGAAGUUUGGGCAGAAUUAUGGCAGUAUCGAAAGCCCUUUGACACAGCUUUUGAAGACAGGAACUCAUUGUUGGACUGAAGAAGCAAGUGCUGCCUUUGAGAAGUUGAAGAUGGCAAUGAUGAUUCUACCGACAUUAGCUAUGCUGGACUUUAAUCUACCACUCGAGAUAGAAACAUAUGUAUCUUGUUUUGGUGUGGGGCCGUUUUAGUACAAGCCAAGAGACAAAUAUCCUUCUUUAGUAAAACCUUAUGCAUGUGGGAUAGAGCGCGACUGGUUUAUGAAAGAGAAUUGAUAAUAGUAGUGUUUGCGGUGCAAAGGUGGAGACCAUAUUUGUUAGGGAAGAAAUUUACAGUGAAAACUGAUCAGAAGUCGCUCAAAUUUCGGCUAGAACAAAGGGUGAUUCAACCCUAAUACCAAAAAUGGAUAGCCAAUCUUUUGGGAUAUUCAUUUGAGGUAGUCUGCAAUCCUGGAUUGGAGAAUAAGGCAGCCGAUGCUCUAUCUAGAACACCCCGUAUAGUGCACUUAAAUCAAAUAUCAGCCCCAACACUACUCGAUUUAGUGGUGAGUCAAGAAGAGGAAAAGAGGGAUCAAUACCUACAGGAAAUCCAGAAGAAAAUAGAAAGAACAAAAAGUGAAAGUUCCAAACUUUUCAGUACAGCAAGGGGUAUUGAAAUACAAAGGAAGGUUGGUGAUGUCAAAAACAUCCGUUCUACUACCCACUAUCAUGCAUACCUAUCAUGAUUUUGUCUUUGGAGGACAUUCAGGGUUCCUAAGAACGUACAAGAGGAUGACCGCGAGAGAUUUACUAGGAAGGAAUGAAGAAAAACAUAAAGAAAUACUAUGAAGAAUGUCUUGUAUGCCAAAGGAAUAAAACACUUGCAUUAUUACCUGCUGGAUUGCUGCUGCCACUUGAGAUUCCUAACACAGUGUGGUCGGAUAUUUCCAUGGAUUUUAUAGAUGGACUUCCAAAAUCAGCUGGAAAAGAAGUGAUUUUUGUGGUUGUAGAUUGUCUGAGUAAGUAUGCACAUUUUACAGCUAUAAAUCAUUCUUACAUGGCCAGCUUCGUAGCAGAAGUUUUUGUUAAAGAAGUGGUGAGAUUGCACGGGUAUCCGCAGUAAGUUGUAUCGGAUCAAGACAAAAUCUUUAUUAGUCAUUUCUGGAAGGAAAUGUUCAAGUUAGUGGGAACUAAAAUAAAUAGAAGGAAAUGUUCAGGUUAGUGGGAACUAUGCCCAUAUACACCAAGUUCGAAUAUAGAACUUGCUUCUUACUGAAAAAAUAAUGAUUAUGGGACUUGCUAUAAGGGUAUCCAAUACUCGAAGUAAAUGAAUGAUUACAAAAUGAUUGUUUCCUCAGUUUGAAGAAGAACAACAAAAAAGAAAAGAAGGAUAAAAAUAAAAAAAAAAAACAAACUUUCUUUUUGAAAUUCUAAAAGAAUCCAAAAAGACUUCAAAAGGUGCAACCAAGAAAGGAGGUCAAAGAAGGGCUCUGAUAGACCCCCCUAUCAUACGUCAAUAUAGUCGAAAAAAAAAGAGAGAGAUCACAAGGGAACACACAUGCGAAGAAGAAAAGAUUUAAAGGACUGUUAGAAGAAAAGAUUUAAAAAGCUUGUUGGGCGUCGGUUAGAUUUGAGGAGAUUUAGGAGGGUCGUUAGGUGUUGAUUAGAAUAAAUAAGGAUAGGGAGGAAAGAGGAGGGUAUGCUGAGUUUAGAAGAAAAUUGACUCAUGCUCUUCCUUGAGCGAUAGGAUAGCAGAGAGGGAAUUAGAUUGUUUUUCGAAUUGAGUCCUCCUCAAUUUGAGUGUUCUGAUAUUUUGAUUUUCCUUGUAACUCAUUCUUUGAUUGAAGCAAUAAAAGUUCUAAUUGGAUUUCCAAAAGAGUUCUAUCAAAUUGGUAUCAGAGACAGUUUUUUCUGACCAAGAGGAAAAUGAUGGUCCAAACACGAAUGAAGGAGAGAAUGGAGGCGCACGACCAGGAGAUGCAUUUGAUGAGAAGCGAGAUAAGCAAAAUUUCGACAAUGAAAGAAAUAUUAGCCACGAUCAGCGUACAGACAAAGAAGACUCACAAAAUGUUGAUAAUGUUCAUGGAAUCGAUUACCAGAGAGCAUAUCGUUAUGAGUGAGAAAAUGGUCGAGUCGAGUGUGCGAGAGACAGUAUCAACAAUAACGAAUAAGAAGGAAGACUCGAUCGAAAAGGGCCAUGAGCACGAAACAAAGGAUGGAAAGAUAGAAGGAGAAGACGGAGCGAACGAGCAUAAUAAGUUCAAGAAGGUUGAGAUGCCAGUUUUCAACACGGAAAAUCCCAAUUUUUGACCCUUUCGAGCAGAUAGAUAUUUUCAGAUACACAAAUUGACUGAUGCUGAGAAGGUCCUGGUUGCGACCAUUAGUUUUGAAGGCCCGACGCUGAACUAGUAUAGGGCGCAAGAAGCACACGACAAGUUUACCAGUUGGUCGAACCUCAAGGAGAGAAUACUCAUCCGUUUUCAAUCAGCAAAAGAGGGGUCCAUAUGCGGACAAUUUUUUAGGAUCGGAUAACAGACGACAGUAGAAGAAUAUCGAAACCAGUUAUAUAAGCUGAUGGAACCGUUAUCCGAUCUACAAGACAGAGUGGUGGAGGAAACAUUCAUGAACGGUUUACUGCCGUGGAUUAAAGCAGAAGUGGAUUUUUGUCGUCCGGUCGACGUGGCUCAAAUGGUGCACGCGGCUCAACUCGUAGAAAAUCGAGAGAUAAUUCACAAUGAGGCCAACCUUAAGGGGUACGCCCAAGGAAAAUAUCCGCCUCAAGGUUCUAGGCAAAAUACGAGUGCUGCGACGGUGAACGAUAGCGACAAUAAGAGAAAUACAUUAUUUUCGAUGAGAACGAUUACUCUGAGAACGACAUCCAGAGAAGUUAAGAGAGGGGCAGGCAAAGCGAUUGUUAGACGCGGAGUUUCAAGUCAGGAAGGAAAAAGGACAUUGUUUCCGUUGUAAUGAGAUAUAUUAUCAUGAUCAUCGAUGCAAAAACAGAGGGCAAAGAGAGUUGAGAAUGUACGUGGUCAGGGCGAAUGAUGAAGAAUUUGAAAUCAUAGAAGAAGUGGGAGAAAAUGAAUUGUUUGGAAAUCACAUAAGAAGAUCAUGUUGUCAUCGAACUGUCAAUUAAUUCGGUGGUGGGGCUGAACAAUCCGAGGACAAUGAAGGUGAGGGGGAAUAUCAGUGAGCGAGAAGUUUUCAUUUUCAUUGAUUGUGGAGCAACGCACAACUUCAUCUCCGAAAAGAUAGUAAAGGAGUUACAACUGGCCACGAAGGCAACGUCGCACUAUGGUGUAAUCUUGGGCUCGGGGGAGGCGAUAAAAGGUAAAGGAGUAUGUGAGGACGUGGAAAUCAAGUUGAACGGGUGGAAGGUGGUGGAAAAUUUGUUACCCUUAGAAUUGAGAGGGGUAGAUGUUGUGUUAGGAAUGCAGUAGUUGUAUUCAUUGGGCAUGACGGAAGUAGAUUGGAGGAACCUCACAAUGACUUUUGUGCAACAAGGAGAAAAGGUAGUGAUAAGAGGAGACCCAAGUUUGACCAAAUCCAGAGUGAGUCUCAAGAACAUGAUCAAAAGGUGGAAGGAUUCGUGAUCGAGUGCCGAGCAAUGGAGAGAGUCUUUGAGCCACAGGAAGAUAACGGGAUUGAAGAAGUAUUAACUACUGAUGAAGCAUAUCGGUCGUGUUGAAGAAUUUUGAAGAUGUUUCUAAUUGGCCGAAGACACUACCCCCGCAAAGAAAUAUUGAACAUCACAUUCAUUUGAAACAGGGCACUGAUCUGGUAAAUGUUCGACCCUAUAGAUACGCUUAUCAACAGAAAGCUGAGAUGGACAAACUUGUGGAUGAGAUGUUGACAGCGGAAUUAUCCGUCCCAGCAACAGUCCAUAUCUAGUCCAGUUCUAUUGGUAAUGAAAAAAGAUGGCAGCUGGCGUUUUUGCGUAGACUACCAAGCGCUGAACAAUGUAACCAUUCCAGACAAAUUCCCUAUUCCGGUGGUUAAGGAGCUUUUCGAUGAAUUAAAUGAAGCAAACUGGUUUUCAAAGAUUGAUUUGAAGGUGGGGUACCAUCAGAUCAAAAUGUGUGGAGAAGACAUCGAAAAAGCAGCAUUCCGAACACAUGAUGGACACUAUGAAUUUAUGGUUAUGCCAUUCGGCUUAACUAAUGCCACAUCCACUUUCCAAGCUCUGAUGAACUCAACAUUCAAACCAUUUUUGCAGAAGUUCAUAUUAGUGUUUUUCGACGACAUACUAAUCUACAGUGAGAACUUGGAACACCAUUUGAAGCACAUUGGGUUAGCAUUGGAAAUCCUGAGAAAGAAUGAGUUAUAUGCAAACAAGAAGAAGUGCAGCUUCGCACAAGAACGUAUUGAUUAUUUGGGUCAUAUCAUUUCAAGACAAGGAGUUGAAGUGGACCUUGAGAAAAUCAGAGCAAUCACGGAAUGGCCUAUACCCAGUAAUAUAAGAGAGGUACGGGGAUUCCUAGGCCUCACCUGUAACUAAAGAAAGUUCGUUCAGCACUAUGGCUCCAUUGCCGCACCAUUGAUUCAACUACUUAGGAAAGGGGGAUUCCAGUGGACUGAGGAGUCUAAGGAGGCAUUCCAACAACUACAAAAUGCGAUGAUGACCCUGCCCGUUUUGGCGUUGAAAAAAUUUCAAUGCCACAUUUGAAAUGGAAACCGAUGCAUCGGGAUAUGGGGUAGGAGUCGUACUCGUCCAAGCCAAGCGUCCCAUAGCAUACUUUAGUCAUACGUUAGCCUCAAGAGAUAGAGCCAAGCCUGUACAUAAAAGGGAAUUAAUGGCAGUGGUCUUGCAUGUGCAACGAUGGCGACCAUAUCUGUUGGGGAGAAAAUUUAUUGUGAAGACCGAUCAGAAAUCCUUGAAGUUCUUGUUAGAACAAAGAGUGAUACAGCUUCAGUAUCAGAAAUGGGUAGCGAAGCUAACGGGAUACUCAUUUGAGGUGGUCUACAAACUCAGCUUGGAGAAUAAAGCAGUAGACGCCUUGUCUUGGAUGCCUCCUACAAUUAACCUCGGUAGCAUAACAGCUCCUACAUUGGUUGACAUUCUGGUGACUAAAAAGGAAGUCAAAGCGUAUGAAAAAUUAAGCAAAAUAAUGGAAGAACUACAAGCAAUGGAAGAAGUAACAGAGGGUAAAUUCUCCAUCCGACAAGGUAUGUUAAGAUAUAAGGAUAAGUUUGUGUUGUCCAAAACAUCUACAUUGAUACCCACAAUCCUACAUACUUACCAUGAUUUGGUACUUGUGAGGAAUGUGUAAUAUGUCAGAAGAACAAGUCCCUAGUGUAACGAGCAUACUUGUCCAAGGUGUGUUUACCUAUGGCCGUAUGCUCCGAUUAGCCCCAAUUUACCUUGUCUUUAUGUCUUGCACGUAGCUUAGGUAGUUGCUUUCAAUUUCAAGUCGAUAUGCUUGGGUGUGACGUUUCGGCAUUUUCAUAUGUUAAAAAUGUACUAUAGGGGAGGCAUACCUGUUGAAUCCCUGCCCAAGCCUUGUCGUACUCUUUGCAGUCUAUGCUUUCUUAUUGCAAUUGACAGUCUUCAAUGCUUGUUUUAACAACGUUUUCAAUCAAUUUAAUCAUCUUUCAUGUUUUCUAAAACUAUUUUUCCAAGAACGUGAGGGGAGGUUGAAGUAUGUGUUAAAGUUGUCUGCGAUUUGCAGAUUUUGAUCGGCUGACUUGUUCGCCGAGCUAGAACAAGUGCCGCACAAUCGUUCACAUCGUGUUUGAAGGGUUACACAGUAAAGGAAGAGUAAGAAUUUGAGUGGAGAAACUCCAAAUUGGGAUCAACACGUGGGCAACAACAUGGCUUCUCACCAACAUGAGAACUCCAAAGAGACCAGCAGAUAUUCUAGAGAAGCCAAUGAACUCUUGGGAUGUGAAUCUGCACUUUCCUGCAAUAGUUUGAGUGUGAAUUAGUUCUCUGAAAACACCUGCAGAGGAUAAUCCACGGCAAAACAGAAUAACUAUAAAAAAACCACUUGCAAGUAGAAGAAAAAGGAAGUACAUUUAUACCUUCCCUGUCAAAGUGAUAUCCCUCAUCAACGGAUAUGCAUUUCUUUCCAGGAAGUAGCCAACAAUUUUACAAACCCAUGGGAGUUUAGGUUGUAAUAAGAAAACAAUUGUGUCCAACAAUAGAGUUGCAGGUGUGUUAGAGUUCACAGGUGCAGCCAAAAGUUGAUUCCUCAAUUGGUUUCUAUCAAGAACAACAUCAAGUAAGAAUAAUUCGGAGGAAAAAUAAAGGCAACUUAUCAUAUAUAUAAAUAUGAUUAGUCUGAAUUCGUUUGCGGAAGGUAAAAAAACCUUUAUGUCAAUUAUAUAUAUCUGAACAAAAUCUAAGAAAUAUAUCACUUUUCAACAAAAGAAAUAUAUCAUAUACAAUUAAAGGAUCAUAGCAUAGAAAGCCAACAAAAUCAACAAUGAUAGAUCAAACAUCUGUUUUUCCAUUCAAAACGUUAAAAAGGAUAAGUUUUUAAUAAGGAAUGUUGAAAUGGAAAAAACUAAUUACCUAUUAUGGUGUACAAUCUGGAUGCAAGCAUAUGCAAAUUUCUUAACUCUGUAAUCCACUAAGGCCUUGUUAAGUACAUAAUCCUUGCUAGCGAAAAUGCUCAACAUAUCCCCUAUAUAUGUAAGAGAGAGAAAGGUUAGAAAGUACUAACACUAAGAGAUAUGUGCUAUCAAUUAGAAACACUUUAAGAUGACAUUAUCAAUUAGAAAACCAAGUAUUAAGCAACAUAAGGGAAAAUAACAAACAAGGGCACCACAGUGGUUCAGAAACCAAUCAAUAUUUCCAUUUGUCACUUUUAUAAUAAUUUCCCAAGGGAAAAUCCUCAUAAUAAGCUUGAGUACCACCUAAUAACGUGUUCAAAUGUUACCAUAAGCAAAAAUGAGUGAUCCUAAAAUUCAUAUGACAAGGAAAGUCGUCAACUAGCAACCGCCAAAUAACAGUUAUAUGGCUAGAAUUAGUUUUCUCCAACUUCAAGAAAAUAAAACAUAUUAAAACAAAAGGAAUUAUGGUGCAAAAUAAUGAAUAUGCUGCAAAGGUAAGAAGUUUCUGAAGGUAAAAAUGGUCAAUAAAAAACAACAUAUAAUUUGACGUAAAUCAAAGUAGAAUUAUUUCUCGCAAUGAAUUCUCUGCCAAUAAUGGCUAAGAGAAGGGGUAUUUAUUGAGAAUUAGUUGGCCAGGCAGAAAUCAUCUAGGGCAUAGUAUUGUUUUAGGUCUGCGACAUUAAAAACAUAAUGAAUGUGUAAGUCUGGUGGUAGUUCUAUUUUGUAAGCAUUAUCUCCGAUCCUCUUUAGGACACGGAAUGGUCCUAAUUGUCUGUCUUUUAGUUUGUUGUAUGUUUCGGUUGGAAAUCGAUUUUUUCUUAGGUGAAUCAUUACUAAAUCUCCCUUGGUAAAGGUAGUUUGUCUUCUUUUUCUGUCUGUUGCGUCUUUGUAGGACUGAGUUGUUUCUUUUAGGUGAUUGUGGACUUCUUCGUGUAAAUUCUGGAUUUUUUCUAUCAUCUUUUCUGCCUCUGAUAGUUAGGGAACUCAACACAUUUUACUUGACCUAACCAAGAUGGCUCUUUGUAUGUAUAUUGCAUGUGUUGUUUGUUUUUUUCUAUAGCUCUUGAUUGUCUCACUUUUUUACGUUUUGCAUUUGCAAUUCUCUUUUCUUUCUUUGGUAUGCAAUGUGGUAACAAGGUCUUGCUAGAACCGGUGGGCUAACCUUUCUAUGGUUCUAAACUUAGUUUCUAAGUUUGACUGGCUCCCUUCGGAGUGACAACAAGCCUCGUUUUCCCCUACUAUGGAACGGGGAGGAUUCAUUUUCUUUUCAAAGCCCUCGUCAAACUCAAUGCUAAGUUUGACUGCUCCCUUCGGAGUGACAACAAGCCUUGUUUUCCCCUAAUGUGGAUCGGGGAGGAUUCCUUCUCUUUUCAAAGCCCUCAUCAAACUCGAUGUUGUGUUUAGAACGCUAAGAGUAGGUGGUCUGGUUUUGGUUAGGCCAAAAGUGAAGUUUUCCCCCAUUUUUUAUGGGCUUUUUCUAAUGUAUAUUGGAUAUGUUGUUUGAUUUUUUUUAUAGCUCUUGAUUGUCUUACUGUUUUAUGUUUUGCAUUGUCAAGUCUCUGUUUUCUUUCUUUGGUAUGCAAUGUGGUAACUAGGUCUUGCUAGAACCGGUAGGCUAACCUUUCUAUGGUUCUACAUUUAGUUCCUAAUUAAGUUUGAUUGCUCCCUUCGGAGUGACAAUAAGUUUUGUUAAUGUCGACCCUUUUCUAAAGGGAUUUAGUUCACUGUGGCUAGGCAAGAGGUUUCUAACUCAUGUUUGACAAGACAAAUUUGUUAAAACCAUCUUAGUUUCUAAAGAGUGCCUCCUAUCCCUUUUUUACUCUAUCUAGGCUAGGUUUGGACUAAGUGCAUCAUAGGUAAGUCACGACAAAGCAACAAAGGAAGACAAAGCUAGAAAAGUAUUCAUGCACUUAUUUAUUAUACAUGCAAUCAAGCAUUCACAACAUACAUACCAUUUUCUCAAUCAUGCAUUCACACCUCAAUAAGAAAUAGCUAAAAGGAGCUUACAACAAAAAAGACAGCCGCUUAUUCUCAAAUUUCAGCACAUAUACUCAUCAAAAUUUAGAAUUUCACAUUGCAAACCCGAGCUCAGUGCUCAAGGGUUGCCAAUCAUGCUUUUUAUGCAAGAUCUAAUUAAGCUAAGAAGGUAUAAUGCUCAUUUUGUAUGGAAAGAAUUCUGAAAUUUUUUUUAAAUUUGGGCAAAAUUUGAACCCCGAAGUUUAGACUAAACAUGCAAGCUAAGCAAGCUAUUACCCACACCCACUCAAAAAAUUGCUUUGUCUGUCCUAAAAGCUUUUGAAAAUCAAAGUAAAUGGAGAAAAAUAAGGGGGAACUUUGGACUCCCCUAGAAGGAUCGACAUCCUUGACUUUGGUUUGAAGCUUGCAUGGAUAAACCUUUUCAUUCCUUUUUAAUUGAUUAUUCAUCCUUGUUCCUGAAAAUCAAAGGAAAUUCUCUCAAUUUUAUAUAUUACUAAAAUUAGGAUACAUAUAAGUCUUAACUAGUCUAAUAGCACCCUCCAUUCAUCUUCCCCUACACUGGCUAUGGUAUCAAAAUUUUCAAUUAAGUAAUACGUCUACUAACGAACUUGAAAACAAAACACAUCACACUAAAAAACACAAACAUCACUUUAACCCAACAGAAGCUGCUCUUUUUACCCUUGCACUCACUAUCACAUUACUAUCAUGUUUGUCAACUGUCAAACUAACUCUUUUAAGUUAUUUAGUGUGACUACAAAGUUAUGAACACCAUAAUCUUAAUUAAAACCUUUUAAUAAACAAAUGCCAAGUUACUACUCAACAAUGGCAAGGAAUUCAAAAAACAUGACUGUAACGACCCAACUUUUCUAGGUAAGUCGAAGUCAUUAAUUUCAAAUAAGGACCUGAGUUUACACAAAAUCUCAAUCUCAAACAAUUUCAAAGUCUCAAGAAAAACAAAAAUUUAUAUCUGGGCCCUGUUUAAAAUAACCAGCACCUUCAAGACAAAUUUACUAAUUCGUGAAUACAGUUCAACUAUAAAAUUUUCUAAACAAUCUCAAGUACUAAACAAAACACGUGAAACAAAACAUUUAGCGGAAGCAAUUUAAAAUAACCCCUAUGGCAAUCACGCUUCCUUUCUGCCCUCGUCGCCGGUUUGCCGUCUUUAUUACCUUUGCCUGAAAAUUAAACAUAAGGAGGGUGAGUAUAAAAAUACCCAGUACGAGACCCUCUACUGGUCCCGUCAGGGGAAAAUAAAUUGUUAACAUUCUAUUGGGACACCCUGUACAGUCACAGUCUUGUGAUCCCGUAGGAUGCACAUUUCAGUCUAACGCCCCGAGGGACGUACAUUUCAGUCUAGUGUUCUGCAGAAACACAUAUCAGUCUAAUGCUCUUGAAGGUGCAGAAUAAUUGGUGAUCCGUGUGACACCUACAAGGCACACAUCCCAAUAAAAGCUAACAAUUUUUCCCCUCAGUCCAUUCUAAACAUCUUAACAGUCAUUCACAGAUCAGUUAAACAUUCUCAUCACGUAAACUCUUUAUUUAACCUCAAACAGUCGUCUUACUCUAAUUUAGUCCAAGGUCAAUAAAAAAACAUAUCAUUACAUCAGUUAACAAGCUAAACAAUCAUAACCUCCUCCUCAGUCACCAAGGGCACCACCAUGACGUUUCUUCCGUUCACAAGCACACAACAUAACAGUAGAUUAUACACUCAGUCUAGACAACAAUCAAUCUACUAAUCAAAUCCACACUUUAUAUAAGCAACAUCUACGAGAUUCAGUCGUUUCCACAUCCUUAUCUUUGUACACAUACAUAACUAGACAGUCACAACAUAUACUCAACCACAGUCUACAUCAAUCCAUGCACAUAUAUGUAUUAAUUUCUCCCAGUCAAACAUAGCAAACAUUAAACUUUAAGUCAAUGCCCAAACAUACAUCAUAACAGUCAUCUCUACUCAGUUCAAAUAUACAACAUCAAUACAUCUUAAUUAGUCAUUAUAUCUUAAUUUUGUUGUUGAGUCUAGUAGAAAAUCCCUUACUUUCAAGUUAGUUAAGCUCCUUAACCACGUUGAAGUCUACGAAGAACGAACCUAAACAUUAAGACAAUUUCUCAAUAAUUCUCUUCAACGCAUCAAUCAUUUAAAUUCAACCCAAUGUGAUUUUUUUUUUACAACUUACCCAAAUCUUCACAAAACGAGUUCCAACUAGAAUCAAUUGUUUGCUGCGAACCCAAUGAAUUCGAGUGUUACCUUCAACCUAUAAUCGAACAGUAAACUAUUUAUCCAACCAAUUAAUCCAGCAAUAUUACUUGAGUUUAUUUUGGAAACAGUUACAAAUUUCAUAACUUCAAUCUUACCAAUCAAAAUUUAAUGACUCGUGGCAAAGCAGGAACGACAGCGAACAACCCAAUCGAAUGGCGUGGGUUUGCUACCUGCGGCAGGACGAAGAAGGAACUCGACGCGCAGAAAGUUGGAUCUGGGGUCUUUAGUUCGGUUCACGGUAGCGAAUUAAAACCUGAUUGCGCGGACGUCAAAGGUGUUAUUCGCGGAAGAAGUCGAGCAGCAGCUUUGCGAAGAGACGACGUGCGACGGAGAGACUGUAUACAGACGGACGGAGAGUCGCGCGGCAGUGCAGAAAACGGAGGAGAAAGGAAUGGGCGGCGGCUGGGCUUGGCUUCGACGGAGACAGAGGCGAUUAGGACGGGGCACGGCGACGCAGAUCUGGACGACGGCGCGGAGACAGAGGUUGCGCGGCGCUGGGCAGAGGGUCAAACGGCGCUGGGCGAAGGGUCACACGGCGCUGGGCGGAAGGUCACACGGCGGCCUUGCUUCGCGAACAGAGAUGGCGGCCGACGGUUGCAGCGGCGGCUGGGUAUGGUAGAAAAGAAAGAGAAACGGAAGAAGAAUAGGGGCGGCGACCGUGGAUCGGAGAAGAAAAGAAGGAUGAAAGCGAUGGUGGUCGGUUGGAGGGUGCGGCUGGAGGUAGGGAUCGGUGAAGGAGAAAAUAGAAAAAGAAAAUGAAGGGGAAAUGGGGGUUGCGCGCGGAGGAAGAAGAAAGGAAAAAAAAUUCUUUUUUUUUUUUCUUUUAUUUAAAUUAAAUAAUAAAACUAAAAUAUAAAUAAAUAUAUAUAUAAUUAUAUUAUCACAUUUUCAAAUCUUCUUUCUCCCCCUUCAUCAUAUUUUCUUCAAAAAAAUAAAUCUUGUACAAAUCGAAUAAUUUUCUUAAAAUAAAUUACCUUCGAGUUUGGGGCGUUACAAUGACAGCUAUAUUGUAACUUGGCACUUGGGGACUUUAAUGGUGUCAAUAUUGUAACUUCUGGUGCCAUGACAAAUAUUGGUGACUGUCAAGAUAAGUUCGCAUAGCCACCGAAAGAUACAUCGUUGCUUUUGAAGAAUGACAAGACUCUAAAUGAUAUAUGCAACAUUAUUUUGGUUAUAUCCAAUCUUUUCUUGAAGGCUAUGUACUUGAAGAUUUUAAUCAAUAAAUAAAAUGAAGUUUAAUUUUUAAAAUAAUAACAUUACAAUGGGAUGGCGAUUGGAAUUGAUUACUUUGGUUAAAAUUUAAGAUUAGAUUAAAAAAAUCAAUUAAUAGAUAAUUCCAUCCAAUCAAAAUAACUAAAUAAAAGACGAGAUUUGAAAAUAUAAUAUCCUAAUAUACACUAAUAGACUUAUAUUAAUAGAUAAUUUCCUGCCGAUGAAAAAUUACUAAAGUUGUACUAUAUUUUAUAAAUAUUUUAAAACAUUACAUAAACACUAAUUAAAGUUGGGUUUAGUAGCAAAAGGUUACAAAUUUAUUGACACCUUCUUUUAGGAAAAAAAAUACCUUGACAUGAUGUAAACUAAAUUUGUAAUCAGCAUUGAAAUCUUUACUAUAUUAAAUGGGCUCGUGGAGAAAAAAUUAUAUACAUCUAUUUUAUUCUUAAAUUGUCGAAAAAAAAUUAUAUUACCUUUUGUGAUCUAACGUAGUUGUGACUUUUAUAGUGUAAGUGUCCAUUUUAAUGUUUGGAAAGAUGAUUUUUCCAAUUUUUUAGUUUACAAAAUAAAGUUCUAUAUUUUAAAAAAUAAACCUUAUGUUGAAUAUGUGUAACUAAUGUUGAUAGGAUGUGAUUGGUUGAUCUUCAAGAUACGAUGCAUUCUGUUUAGAGUGGAGAUGGUUGCACACACAUCAAAUUGUGCGUUGAUUCCUCCAAAUUUACAUGUGAAAUGUAAAUGUAAAAGAAAAACAAAAAAAACUCUUGCAGUUACACAUUAAAAAAAAAAAACGUCACGAAAUUCCAAAGUUCAAAAGAAAACAAACAUACACAGGGAUUUAAUUGAUUCAAAGUAGUAACAAAUGGUGAAAAAAUGCAUAAUUUCUUGUGAUUUCACAUUAACAUGUUAGAAUAAAAAAUUAUCGUAUUCUAUAUAUUACAAUAUUGGAUCAAAUAUUAAUACAUUAAUUUAAUUAUUUAAUUACUACAUCAAUGAAUUUCUUUUUCUUUUUUAAAUAAUAAUUUUACCAUUAAUAUUAUAUAAUAUUUGUUUAUUAUAUGCUAAAGCAUAUUUAAAAAUUAAAUAGAAUUAAGAGAUUUCACAUGAAUUUACGCACAUGUUUCAACUGAAAAGAUGGAAACAAUAGUCACAAAUUAUUUUUUCCUAAAACAAAACAUUCAUAACCAAAUCUAAAUAUGCACUUUCAUAACUAAGGACCAAAACUCAUAUUACGUAGAAUUGAGCAUGGUUUAAAUGAAAUUAUUAACAAAAUACUUACACUUUACACCAGGUUUUUUGGCAACAUACCACUAGUAGAAAAGUGGUAUACGAUGACAGUUAUUUACUGUCGUAAACGAAAUUCGCGACAGUUAUUUUCAGUAAUAGAAGCGGGAGUCAUGGAAAGUCCUUCGAUGAUAGUUUUUAAAAACUGUCGCAAUAAGUUAUUUUAUGACAUGAAAUAAAUGUCGUUAAUCAGAAUUCAAUGACGUCAAAUAACUGUCAUAUUUUAUUUUAUGACAACAAAUAACUAUCAUCAUUUGUGGAUUAACGACGGUUAAAUAAAUGUCGCAAAUUCAUUUAUUGUGACAUUUUUUAAUUGUCAUGAAUAUGUUAAUCGCGACAGUUUUUUUAUAUAAAAAUGUCAUUGUUUUGCUAUUGACGACAUUUUUUUCCUGUCACAUCUAGGGCAAUCGUGACAAUUUAUUUUAUUAAACAACUAUCAUCGUUUUCGGAUUGACAACAAUUAAUAACUGUCACAAAUUCAUUUAUUACGUCAUUUAUUUUCUGUUGCAAAUUUCUCAAUUUACUACAGUUUUUUCCUGUUCUCCUUGUCGCUCCACCAUUACACAAACCAUUUGAAUGACAAUAAUGUAGCUGAGAAUGACAAUUUUGAAUUUAUAAUAUUGACACCCAUAUAGAAAAAAGUAGCCAACACUUUAAUAUAUAUACGAUAUAAUACAAUUUAUAAUAUUUGUACAUUUCCAAUCAAGUGUCAACAAUUUACAAGUACGGAAUCCCAACCCUUAAUCAAAAAAUAUUUUAAAUAGCAUUAGAAUACAUCUAACAAGAUUUUCUGCAGAAGCAUAAACGACCAACCGAGAAUGUUCGUCUCUGAAAAUGUUCUUGGAAAGUAAACUUAUGAAGUUGUUGACUCCAGUUGAACCUACAAAGACAACAUGAAUAUAAGCAUCCAUCAUAGGACAAGAGAGUACAACUCUUAUAGAAACUUUCAACAUUGAACAUUACCUAUCACUACAUGCGUCGAUAAGAGAAACAACUACAUAGCAGAGCACAAAUGUAGAAUAACAGCAUCACCGUAACAUCCACUUGGUCUACAAUAUUGAAACUUUUUACAAAUUACAACUCUUGUAUCAUUGCUCUUUAGAAAAUUUACCUGGAUAUAAAUAAGUAAUCUACAAGGAAAUUAUUGAAUAAGUAAUCAUAAGUAAUAAUCGAGAUGAAUGAAACUUAAGAAUCCAUUAGUAGUUCACUGUCAAUAAGGUUGGAAGAAACGUUAUCCGAUAAGAACCGAAAAGUUUCCAUCUUAAGGAGUCAAACACUUUCAUCAGAAAUAAGACAGUUUUCAUGUGUAAUCCACUUCAGUUAACGAAGCCAAGAAAUAUUAAGGUACUAGGAAAAUGAAACUAGAACAACUUGUAUCAUUUAUGGCUUAACAGAAAUUAAAGGUCUCCUAGUUUCUUAUCCAAAAAAAGCUCUACCAAUGAGUAUGACAUAAAAUCCAUGACAAUUUACAAAAGUAGCAAUUUAGCAAUAGCAAUAAGUACAGACAUAACACCCAUGACAAUUUACACAAGUAGCAAUAGCCAACCAGUACAAGCAUACUAUCCAUGAUAAAAAAGAAAGGUAUCUAUUACUCUUAAUCCUAUAAUAUGAACGACAUUAACUAAGAAGGGACCAUUGACAUGUACCUGAUGUUCUAAUUCCAUGGAGAUCGAAGUCCCGAAUGAGCUUCCACAAGUUAACAUCCUACAAUACAAUACAUUUUAGUUAAAUCAUAUAGCAACUCAUUAAACAUAUAGAGAAGGACUUCCAACUGACAUUUGGAAAAGAGUUGGGUUGAUCAAUUUUUGUGGCAUGGGGAGCAAUGUUAUCUUGAGCAAAUUGUUUAACACUUUCUUUGAACUGCAAUCAGUUAAUCAAGAAUUUUGAUAUAUUGACAUUAUAAAUGAAACUACAUACAAAUCAUUUUUGUAAUAAACUAAUUUGAACCAUUUACUAUCAUUUAAAUAAAGCGAGAGAGAAAAGAGGAAGCCUUAAAAGCAAGAUUCUUAAUAUAUCCUCAUAAAAAAAAAAAAAACUUGUUCAAGUGUCAAAGUCGACAAAAAAAAAAAAAACUGCAACUGACAAAAACGAAAGAACUAUGAUUAUUUGAUGAUGUUUGGUUCAAUAAGUAGGAAUGUAGCUUGGAACCUUUUCUCAUUUUCUCCAACUGCCAGAACAUUCAAGACAUUUUUUAAAGAUUCACAACACUCUAUCACUUCACAUUUCAUGUACUCAUCUGCACAAAUGUGCUUCCAUAGGUCAUAAUCUCUGGAUUAAAAUUCAACAGCCAUAUCCAAUGCUAUUGGAAUAUGUAGCAGUAUAAAAAUUGUUAACAGUUGCUAUAAGUAUGCCUAAAAAUUUCAACAGCCAUAUCCAAUGCUAUUGGAAUCUGUAGCAGUAGAAAAAUUGUUAACAGUUGCUAUAAGUAUGCCUAAAAAUUUCAACAGCCAUAUCCAAUGCUAUUGGAAUCUGUAGCAGUAGAAAAAUUGUUAACAGUUGCUAUAAGUAUGCCUAAAAAUUAAAAGAAAACAUAAAGGGACUAUAUUGACCUUGCUGGCUAGUAAAAAGGGAGGCAUUUGGAUUAUUUUUAGGCUGGGAUAUGAGGAAUAAGGAACUAGCAAGAGAUCCAUCUCUCUGUUUCAUUUGAAAAUUUAGUUUAGUUUUAAAAUUAUAAUUGAAAGGAUGCUUGGAAUGAAGAAUUCUAAUUUUUAGGCAAGAGUUCUAAUAAACUCUAUGGGUGUAUCUCCUAAUCCUCCGUUUCUAACUUUAUUGUCUUUCCCAAGAGAUUUGACAAGAUAAUUUUAUCUGAUAUUGAAGAAAUUUCACCAAUUGUGGGCUGCAAAUAGUUCAAAUAGAACUAGUAUUGGAAUAUAUAGAAUAUACAAAAUACCCUAGCCCAUACGAAACAAAAGAACUCCAAGACAUAGAAGAAGCAAAAGUCAUUAAAAGAAAUGGAUGAAGUGCAAACAUACACAAGACAACUAGCAGUAACUACCACAAUAUGCUUAUGAACCAACAACUGAAGUAACCUAACUAAUAACAAAGUCAACCUAUCACAAAAGCACAAGUUUUCAUUUUUCAACCAAUAGAGGCAUGCCUGCAAAUAACCAUCAUCUUUUGUAGACUUUAGAAAGAUGUCUGACAAAGCAGACAAUAACUUGGAGAACAGGACUUAAGUAUAGUCCGGAAAUAUGAGACUACAUUUUUCAACUAAAAGGCUAAUUCCUUAAACAUCAUGUAAAUCAAGUCCCUUUGAAUUGCAUAAACAUGGCACCAACUCCAUUGCUGAAUGAAUAAAGCAUAAACUACCUUAAUAAAGCAUAAAUUUACCCAAAUGCAAUAUUGUGAAUUAAUUGCAACAUCUUUAGUGAACAUAAAGGGGCUAUAUUGACCUUGGAAAGACAAUUUGAAUGAAUAAAUCAUAAACUACCUUAAUAAGUUUAUCAGAUGCAACGUAUCAUUUCGCUUCUUCAAGACUCAUCUCUGCAUUUAAGUUUAGAAUUAGAUGUUAGUGUGAGUAAUCAUACUUAGGAAAAGAGAAUAAAGCUUUUCAGCCUACUCGUGUCUUGACGUUCUAGAACUGAAUUCUACAUCUUGGAUACUGGAUUCACAAUAACACUAAAAUAUAUACAAUUGGAACUCAAUGUAGAAAUAACAUACAAGUCGAGGUGGAGAUAGCUUCAUGUUUUCAUCUUUGCAAGCAAAACGGAUAUUGGUAAGUUUUCUUUAGUUCUUACAAGAUUAACCUAGAAAAAAGAAAAUUGCUUAUCAUGUAAAUCAAGUAGAAAUUACAACUUCGAUCCAAAGUCUAAACAUAAAGUUCUCAACUUACAUCUAGAUUUGAUUCCCUAGAAUGUUCUCCAAUAAUCAUUCCAUCAUAAAUCUGGAACAUAAAUUAUCAGGAAAACUGAGCAGAACAUUUUCGAGGACCCAUAUAUUAUCUACAAUGAAAAGAUAAUGGAUCCUCAGUCUAAUGGAGACAACAAAAUAUACAUUUAGACCAACUCAUAGCAUAAAAGAUAAUAGGUCUAUGAAUCAAAUGAUUUUAGGGUAUCAAAAAUAGCUCCUAAACAAACGUAUAUAUAAUUGAACAUCCACGCUUCCUGCCUAUGAAAACAGGGAAACAAUUAAUUCACGAGAUUGAACAUUUUGAGAAACUUCUAUCCAAAAGGAGGAAAGAGGGGUGGAAAGUGUACACUAAAAAACCAUUAUGCACCAUAUAGAUGAAUUGACAUGACUUAGCUACAAAUACUUGUGCAAACUGCAAAAUGACAGCAACUAGCACAAUAAAAACAAAUCAAACAAUUUUCUAAAUGGUGAAUUGCCAAUUGCCAAACUAAACUUCAUUACAACAAGUCUAAUAUACUAAGUUAAAAAUAGGCUUCAGUGUGUGUAACAAUCAGAUCAUAGAACACACUCGCACAAUGCAAAAGAAAAAGAAAAAAACUUUUAAAGCUUCAGACACAUAUCGUCAAACACCUUACAAGCACAAACUAAUAUCAUAUUUUCUCAUAAUCUCACAAAAAAAAAAUCUUGUUUAAGUUUCAAGAUAGAAAUUGAUUGAUGAUGUUCUUUUUUAGAAGAUUUCAAGAAAUAAAUAAGAGAAUACUUCAACUUUUCUGCAUGAUUCCAAAAUCCUAUCAAUCAAGAAAUCUUGUUGUAAUCCCAACAAGGAAAACUUAUGUUCUUCCUCCGUCCACAGUACAACAAGAUAAAACCUAACGAAAAUCCUAAAUGUAUUAAGUGAAAAUCCCCACAAAUUAUCAGUCAUUUACACAACUACUCCAAAUCAUAUCUUAAAAUCACUAGGUAAGCACCAAUUCAAAGAAAAAUGGAGAAAAUCAAACCUUGCUAGCAUGUAGACGUUUUUGUUAAAUAUUGAAUCCUGAAAAACCAUUCUCAGCACACUAAGAAACAUUCAUAGAAACAUAAGAUGUGACAAUCAAGACCAAGGGCAGAGUUGGAGUUCAUAAAAAUUUAAUAGUUUUUUUUUUUUAGGAAUUUCAUCAAACACAUGGUGGGUAAAUUCAAAGUUGUUAAGGCCAUAAGAACAUCCCAAUAGCAAAUGCUCUUUUCCCUUAAGGGUACCAUCAAAACAGAGUCCAUAUUGUUUUAGAAGCAAAUUCAACUUACCUUCCCCCAUUUUCUCAUAAUCCCUCUUCGUGUACUUAGGAUAAUGAAGCGACAUUUGAACACCCACUUUCAAAAUUCAAACUUCCACCAUGAAAAAAAGAAAAAAAACUCACACCCUCCUUCUUCUUCUGACUUGGGUAAGAAGAAGAGGGGUAGUUGAAACUCAUGUAUAAAGACAUUGGAUUGUUGGAAUGUUUAUGAAAGGAAAAUACACAAUAUUCACAAAGAGAGAGACAAAGAGAGAAGGAAUGGCAGCGCCGGAGAGAGACGAAAACGAUGGACACAUCGGAGCGAAUAGAUGGCCACGCCAGAGUGAACAGACGGCCAGGAGUAGGGCGAAUGGUGACGAGGCCGGAAGAUGGUCGGAUUGGAGAUGGAAGACGAUCAGAUUGGAGAUGGAGAUUUCGCGGAAGAAUUGGGGAAAAUAAUAAGGGUUUACGAUUUGGGGAAAUAUUUUCUAAAUUUCUAAUCUUUAUUUAUUAUUUUUUUAAUAAAAAUAUAUUAUUUUAUGUUUUUUUCUAUGACAUCAAAUAACUGUCGCGGAAUGUAUUAUCCGAAAAAUUCCGUCUUUUCCCGCCAAAAACGCGAAAUUUUAACAUUUUGUGACAGUUCUUUUUUCUCUCUCUCAUUUUCUGAUAUACAUAACUGUCAUAGUAGACAGUUUUUCUUCUAGUGUACAUAGUGAGAAAAUUCAAAAUUUACCCUCUUACUUGUAUCUUUUCAAUAAAAAGUGCAUCUUAGUUGUAAUUAUGUCAAAAUAAAAAAUAAAAAAAUAACUCGUCAGUUAACGUGGUUAUCCAUUAACUGAUUUGGGUGAACUUUCUAAAGAUAAAAAUAACAAAAACAAACAAACAAAAGACUAGAACAUGUUAUUUAAUUAUGUAAUUACAACUUCCCUUUCUCCUCCGUGAGAAAAAAACCAUUUCUCUAAAUUUCAUCUAUAUAUAUGUGUAUUGAUCAAAUGACCCAUAUCAAUAAGGACACAAAAUUGGCAAAGAACAAAUAAAUUAAAAUGGCCAAUAACUCUUGUUUCAUUACUUUCUCUCUCAUUGGAGUUCUUUUGUUCACCAUCAUUUCAAAUGUGGCAUCAUCUAACGACGUUGUUUCUACCAUCUGUUCAGAAAUCUCAAAUCCACAAUUUUGUUUAAGUGUGUUGAAAUCUGCAGGCACUACAGAUCUAAAAGGCUUGGCUGUAUACACCUUAAACCUUGCUCAUUCAAAUGCUGGCAAAUCUUUGAUCCUAGCCAACUCACUAGCAAAAGCCACCACCAAUCCUCAACUUAAGCAACGAUAUUCAUUUUGUGCUGAGAGCUAUGAUGAAGUUGUUGGUGACAUUGAAAAUGCUCAAAACGACUUGGCACUUGGGGACUUUAUUGGUGUCAUUAUUGUAACUACUGGUGCCAUGACAACUCUUGGUGAUCACUGUCAGAAUAAGCUCUUGCAGCCGCCGAAGGAUACAUCGUUGCUUUUAAAGAAUAGCAACACUCUAGAUGAUAUAUUUAGCAUUAUUAUGGUUAUAUCCGAUCAUCUUUGAGGGUUAUGUACUUGAACAUUUUGAUCAAUAAAUAAACUGAAGUUUAAUUUUUAAAAUAAUAUUACAAUGUGAUGGUGAUUGGAAUUGAUUACUUACUUUGAUUAAACUUGAGAAGAUAAAGAAAAUCAAUUAAUAGAAACGUUCACCGACACACAUUGUCAGCACGUCGGAGAAAGCCUAAACUUUUUUUUCUUUUCUUUUACGUUCUGUUUUCUUUUCUUUGUUUGCCAUCAUCAUCAUCAUCUUCUUCUUCUUCUAGCUUCUUACGUUCUGUUUCAAUUGCAUACUUCUGUUAUUCUUGUAAUUUCUUCGUGGUUUUCUUUUUAACUUUGUGUUUCAGUGUGGAUUCAUAAACACAUUUUUCAGUGCUCUGGAUUCUGGAUCUGUUAUGAUUUGAAAGGGUACAGUGAAGUGAAAAGUUGAAAUGGAAAAGAAAAAAGAAGAAAAGAGGACACUUCUCGCGGUGGUGGCGGCAAAGACUGACGUCGACGACAACACAACUCUCCUCCUCUCCCUAUAUCUUGAUCGAUUUUGGGUUUAUUUUCGUUUUGCAUUCUGUUAUGUGUGGAAGGGAGAAUAAAUAGUGUGGACUUUCCCCGACGUCUUCGAAAACGUUGGGAAAUUUACCUUUCGCCGACGUAUGUAGUACACACGUCGGAGAAAGUUUAAAUAAUAAAUUCAUUAUUUAAACUUUUCCCGACGUACUCCUGUCAUACGAGUCUAAAUUAAAUUUAAUGCGUUCUCCUUCGGCGAUGUGUGUCAAGGUGACGUUGGAAAAAGUUUAAACACUAAUGCAAUUAUUUUAAAUCACAUAUGUUAUCGCUUAUAUGGCAUAGGAGUCUAUUAACGAUAGAAAUCUAUCUUGAUAGGUUUUGCUACAUUUACAAUGUUUAAAAAAUAUUCUUAUAUACUUAACUAUUAUUCCUAAAAUUGCUAACCCAUUAUACUUACCCUAAGUUAAAUGUAUAAUGUCAAAAGUAAGUUUACUACGAAGGUAAUCUAUGUGACCCUUUUAUCCUAACGUAGGAAGUUUGUUCCACUCCAUACCAUUAUUGAACUAAAAGGAUUAAGUGUGUAUUAAUAUGUUUAAACAAGUAUAAUUAUAGCAAAAUCUAUAAGUGAUAUAUUGAUAUUAGCAAUACAAUACGCGUCACAUAUGCAAACAUUUUGUGUCUAAUCGUUGUAUUUACAAUUAACUCCAUUAAAAUAUUACAAAUAGAAAUAGAACUCUUUAACCUAAGUUCAGUUAGGAUCACAAACUACGAAACGAAAGCAUGGAACAAAUUUAAUUUGUUUUUUUUUCUUUAAAGGAAAUUUUGUGCGUAGCACAUUAUAUUUUUUUCUUUCCUUUAAAAAACAUUAUUGAUCUUAUGAUAUUUGGCAGAGAUUGUAGUUUUUUAAGAAUGUAAAUAAUGUAAAUAAUGUGCCAAAUAAUUGAAAACAUGUUAUCCGAAACAGAGAAUGGUUAAGAAAUUGUUGACAUUUAGUCAAAUUAAUAAAUAAUUCAAAUUUAGGUUUGAUUUUUGAAUUUGAAACUAUAGUAAAUUAGAAAGUGUUUUGAAACAGUGUUUACGAAAAGAUUUUUAAUUUUAAACAGCAUUAUAGUGCGUAAACAUUUUUAAUUUUAAACAGCAUUAUAGUGCGUAAACAUUUUUAAUUUUAAACAGCAUUAUAGUAGCUAUAGAUACCAUAUAAUAGUCUACACAAUCUUUGUUCCAAAUGAUCAAUUCGAUUUUUUAAAUCAAGUCUAAUGUUUUUUUUUUUUUUUUUUGCCUAUUUCUUACCAUAAUUUACAUUUUUUGUAAGUAUAAUGGUUGAGUGCAAAAAGAGAGUUGACUAGUAAGUGCAAAAAGAGAGCUUACAAGCUUCUGCAAAAGCUAAUCAAGCAACCUAAAUCAUAAACGAGGAGAAAAGUUGAUUGAUUAAGCUUUGUUGUGGUAAAGAAGAAGUCAAAGUGAACAUCGAACGUUCUUCACUCUUAAAGAACAUCGCGAACAGAUAGAUUAUAUAUACUUUUCUGGAAUUGACCCAAAAAAUUCAGUCCCAAUGUAUUUUAUGGUGAGAUGCAUAGUUUAACUAAACCGUGUUAUUACAAAAUUUUCAAUUACUAGGAACUCUUAAUGAAACGAAUACAUUAUUUUUAUAAUUACGAGGUAAAAUGGAAAUAUACAAACUACUAAAAAAGCUGCAAAUCCAUUAUUGGGAUUCAAUCUACUCUCCAAGCAUGUUCUUGAAAUGAGAGUUUUUAAGCAGCUACAACUUGCUUAUGUAUAAAAGCAAAACCCUUUUCAACGCCUGCCUUCAGUUUUGGCUUUAGAGCUUCAAGUGCUUUUUGCCCCUACUCAGAUAAACCCUGAAGAUCAAAUGUUACAAAGGCUUCAAUUCCACAUGCAAAAAUCAUGUUCAUGAACCAAAAGCACCUUAAGCUUCUCUUCGAUAUCUUUGAGCUCACUGUAUAAAGAACUGAUUUCUAAAGCAAUCAUCUCUACUAUAUCCUCAUCGUUCCCACUCUCUUUUAAUAAGGCUGGCAUGAUAAUCACAACAAAGAAGAAAAAACUAAGAUAAAUUUAACAAAUUUUAUGUUGGGAAACUUUUUUAAGAACAACUACUUAUAAGCCAACCUUAGCUUUGGCCUCACAUUCCUUGAAGUUUCUAAAAGUAGAUACCACCUGUCCGGGCAACCCACACCAACCAACCAAGAGUAAGUUAGUGUGAAAGACACUUAUUUAAUGAAGAAUAUGUAAAAGAGGUCAUUCAAACUGUUACACAUAAUAGUAUUGGAGGCAAAUAACCUUGCCAUAACUCAUCAAGUUCUGAUAUUGAUUGGGCUAGUUUUUGAUACUCUGUGGGGUUUGAGACAAUAUCUGGAUUGGCCAGCUUAACCUAAAUAAUAAUAUCGAUAGUGAUUAUUGUGUAGGAAAAUAUUAAAGCUAUAACUAAAUGAAAAGCAUAAUUAGAAAUACAUCAAAGAUGUAAAUGCAAAUUUCAAAAGUGGAUCUACAGAAUGUAAGGGGAAGAAACUCAAAUACAAUUACUUUAUUAGUUAUACGACUACUAUAGAGAUUCUAGAUACACCACAGUUCCACGUCCUCUUUUAGGAGGAAAGCAAUGGUGAAAAAUUAAUUGUGAAAACUAAAGAAGGUCCUAUUUAAAUCCUAACUGCAAUAGGAAAGCAAGGAGUUAUAAGGUGAUCACUAUAGCCAAAUCCAAAAUGCAUUCAGUAUUUGUCUUCCAAUUUCAUUAUCAAGUGCAUAGAUAGCAAGGUCCCUAGUGAGGAAGUUAUUCGUUCUUUUCUUCAUUUUCUAUAGCUCUAGAAGUAGCUAAAUGGAAUCGUCAAUCACCUAAUCUAUUAAUUUUAAAACUCAAAAGUUCACCGCGGGAUUCUAGUCACUGCUGAAACAGCAUAGAGUUCACUAGUUCCACAGUUAAAUUAAUUGCAAAUUGCAUUUCCUGGCAUUUUCAAGAAACAAAAAUGGCACAAAUCAUAAUAUGAUGAAGCAGAAAAAUUCUGUGAGCUCGACUUUUCCAGGACAUAUCUUAGCUACUUCUCCUAUUCUAGCUCGAUAACCAUUGUACUUCAACAACCGAAACAUUAAUCCAAUAGUUAACAAUGUUCUGCACUUUAUGCCCUUACAUUUCCAACGACUUAAUGCAUACAUCAGUAGUUAACACAGACACGGGCUCUUAAAUUCAAUGCAAAAUAACAGUCCCAUUCCAAGCAUAAACACCAGAUACAAACAAUUGAUGGACUUGAAUCAGUAAAGAAAUAAGAAUGUUAUUUAACAGCAAAGCACAAAUUAUCGAUAAUUUUUUCCACGUCUUCUCAGCAGAUUCCAAUUUCACGAUCAAAUAAGGUUUCCUAAAAUAAAGCAAUCACCAUCAUCAUUUUCCACAAAUAUGAUUCGAACUAGUUUUACCACAAAUUAAUUUCUAAUAACUUGAAGAAAAACUCAGUGAACUCAAAGCAUAACGAAACUUAAGUUCUGUUAAAGCCAAUCGAAACAAUAAGAUAUAGACAUAUUGUGUUUCUCGAAAGAAAAACAUUUAAUAAAUCUAACAGCUAUGCAAAUUAGAGUUGAAGCUCUAACGGGAGGUGCAAAGCAUUUAAAGUUCCAGAGAGCAUCUUCUGAAGGCGAUGAGCCCAUAAGAUGAAAAAAGGGCCUCAAGUGAGGAAGAAAGACGCCAUCCAAACAUGAAAAAAGGAAGAAAGGCAAGAUUUUGGCAGUUCCAGGCCUGAGGGAAGCGAACAAGGUGGCGAGGGAGGCAAGGCCCCAAAAUUUAGCAUUGCCAACAAAGUGAAGGUGGAGAAGGAUCUUUCCUUUUAACGUGGCCCUCCGAGAGUUUAUGGACGCCCCCAAUUGGGGCGUUUGGAUGGAGUAAGUUCUUCAAGGGACUUCCUAGAUUCUGUGGAGGUUGUCAAGAAAUUCUACGCAUCAGAUUACAACCACUACAAGGAAUUCGGAUCAACAAACGCAAUUUAACACUAUUGGGAGAUAGAGUAUCUCCCGACACUAUCUCCCGACACAAUAAUAUGAGCAUCGUGAGAUAUAGUGUCUCUCGACACCUAACAUCUACGUCAGAUGUUAUUUACAAUCUCCCGAUGUUGUGUUGUGAGGCAUCAGGAGAUAGAGGCUAACUCUCGACGACAGUAGAAAAGAAAUGAGAGUUGUAGAGUAACUAUCAAAGCUGCUAAUAAAGGGAUGAUAGUUAGGGGAACUCCCGAUGCAUAUCGAGUUGGAUCGUGAGUUUGCAUUUAAAAUCCCCCCUCGAUUUAUAUUUCACAGAUCUGCCAAGAAGGGAAAAGUGAAAUCUGAAGAGAACUACGCCACUGUCGUCCUUGUUGUCUACCCUGGUGCCACUCCCGUCCUACAGUGUCGAUGCUCUACCUUUAAAUUUUGCCCUAAACUCUUUGUUCUCUAGAAUUCUUUAUGUCCUAAGAUCGGUUAUGUUCUUGUUUUUCAUGUGUGUCCUAAAAUCCUUUUGUGUCAUAAGCUAGAUUUAAAUUUUCGUCUAAAAUCCUUUGUUUUUCAUGUGUCCUAAGAGAUUCUCCUAUACUGGUCGUCGGCUCCUCUGCAUAGCCAUAUAGUCUUUUGGAUUUAUUUAGGCUUGGCCUUCUUUCACCUAGUAGGGUGGGUUUACUGUAAAAGCUUCUAAGGUCAGUUCUAGAGGGUUUUUUAGCAGUCUUGAAAUUCCCGAAGGCUAUAGAAAGCAUUUCUUGAAAUUUAAAACUGAAAUUUUGAGGUAAGCAAGUUAAGACAAUUUUAAGAAAAUUUGUAGAAAUAACUUUUCCAUUUUAAUGGCUGGAUUAAAGGUUAUAAGCAUUGAAAGUUGAAUGAAGUUUCUGGAAUUCUCACAGUUUCUGGGCAAGCUUAAGGUAGUCGAGCAUCACGCAGUGAAAGGGUUGGUUAAGAGUGCAUUGUUCAGGUAAGGGGAGGUUAUUUCAAUCAGAUUGAGGGUGCACGACACGGUCAAGGCACAGUCGAGCGACAUGGUUGCGCUCAAGUUGUGCACAUGGCCAUGAAUACCUUGUAAAGUGGAAGAACCUUCCUGUAGAAGAAACCAGAUGAGAACGUGUUAAAGAUCUUGAAGCCUAUAUGUAGAAGAUCGAAGAGCUCAAGUUUUGCCAGUGGACAGAAACACCAACUGUUUAAGUAGGGGAGAAUGUCACGAGCAUGCUUGUUUAGAGCGUUGUUUGCCUAUGGCCGCAUGCCUAAAUACCCCAAAAUCAUCUUGUCUUUAUGUCCUAUGCUUAGUUUAGUCUAUUGCUUUCCUUUUCAUGUCAUAGACCUAGGAUGUGACAUUGCACUCAUUUUCAUAUGCAAGCCAUUCAAAUCUAAAAAAGGCUAAAAUGUACUACAAGAGAGACCAAGUAGUUGAAUCCCAGACCAAGUCUUGUCAUACUCUUUGCAAUUGAGAGUCUUCAAUGCUUUCUCUAAUGACGUUUUCAAUGAUUUUCUUUCUCUCACGUUCUAUAAAACAAUUUUCUCAAGAACGUGAAGAGAGGUACAUUAUACCAUGAGUUUCUCUACAAUUUUUGUAUUUUACACGGCUGACUUGUUGACGAGCAGAACAAGUGCCGCACAAUCGUUUGUCCCAUGUUUGAAAGAUUGCGAUUAUGACAAGUGGUAUCAGAGCCUAAGUUGACUAAUUGACGGUUAAGACGUGAACAUGUCCACAACAAAACAGGUGCUCUACUUAAGUAAACAUGGCUUAUUGGCCCAUGCAGGUUGAUUGGUAGAGCUUGAAGAGCAGAUGCUCUACCUAGUGGAAGUUCCUGACUCCAUCCGUUUCUUUGGAAACCCGUCUUGAAGAAAUUUCUCAGAAAGUUGUUGCUAUUAAUGCGGAAACUGGUCGUCUUGACAAAAUACCCAUUCAAGAGUUGUUGACAAGAGUUGACACUCUAGAGACAAAAGUUGUAAGAACUGGAAACUACGAGCGUGGAGACAGUUCGAUGACCUUUGUUGCCCAUAUAGAAGAAUGCAUGGUUGUGCUGGAUAGCUUUCAGAAGAUGAUUAUGGAAAUUAUUGAAAAGAGAGACAACGAGUUCACACCAAUUUACGUGGAAACCCGAGUACCGGGAGAAAAACCACGAUUGUUUGUGUUGUUAUUAUUUUCUAAUGAAUAAAACAAUAGGUAUAGGGAAGAAUAAAUAGAGUACACAAUGGAAUAAAAAAGGAAAAGAUUUAGGAAAAUAAGGAAUACAUUCCCAUAAUCUUUCCAUAAUUAUUCUAGGAUUCUAACAAGGAAAAAGCCUAGAAAAAAAGGAAAGAAUUCCAACACUCCCCCUCAAGUUGGGACGUAAAUAUCAAUGAGGCCCAACUUGCUAACGCAAAAGUCGAAGUUUGGUCUGAGAAGCCCUUUGGUAAGAACAUCAGAAACCUGUUGACUUGAAGGGAUGUACGGAAUGCAUAUGCUCCCACUGUCAAGUUUUUCUUUGAUAAAAUGUCGAUCAAUCUCAACAUGUUUAGUUCUAUCAUGUUGAACAGGGUUGUUAGCAAUACUAAUAGCGGCUUUAUUAUCACAGAAAAGCUUCAAUGGUGUCUCACAUUCCUGAUGAAGAUCUGUCAAAACUUUCUGAAGCCAAAUUUCCUCACAUAUUCCUAAACUCAUAGCUCUGUAUUCAGCCUCAGCGCUGCUCCUGGCAACAACACUUUGCUUCUUACUCCUCCAAGUUACAAGAUUGCCCCAAACAAAGGUACAAUAACCAGAGGUAGAUUUUCUGUCAACAACAGAUCCUGCCCAAUCCGAGUCAGUGUAUGCCUCAAUGGUCUUUCUGUCUGUUUUUCUAAACAUCAGCCCUUUACCAGGUGUUGAUUUUAAGUAUCUCAAGAUUCUGUUGACAGCUUUCAUGUGUUCCUCAUUAGGGGUCUGCAUAAACUGGCUGACAACACUCACAGCAAAGGAAAUAUCAGGACGAGUAUGAGAUAAGUAAAUUAAUUUACCCACGAGGCGUUGAUACUGUUCUUUAUCAACUGGAACUUGAUCAUCAGAGUUUCCUAGUUUGCAGUUGAAUUCAAUAGGAGUGUCAGUGGGACGACAUCCUAACAUACCUGUCUCGGUUAACAAAUCAAGGAUGUAUUUUCUUUGAGAUACGGAGAUACCUUCUUUAGAUCUGGCCACCUCCAUUCCAAGGAAAUAUUUCAAAUUUCCCAAAUCCUUGAUUUCAAACUCAUCGCCCAUUCUCUGCUUUAGUUGACUGAUUUCUGCCUGAUCAUCUCCAGUCAAAACAAUGUCAUCCACAUAAACUAUUAGAACAACAAUCUUUCCUGUUUUGGAAACCUUUGUAAAUAAAGUAUGAUCAGAGUGUCCCUGCCUGUACCCUUGGGACUUGACAAAGGUAGUGAAUCUGUCAAACCAUGCUCUGGGAGACUGUUUCAGACCAUAUAUAGAUUUCUGGAGUUUACACACAUGCUGACCAAACUGGGCUUCAAAUCCAGGCGGAGGGCUCAUGUAGACUUCCUCUACGAGGUCUCCAUUCAAAAAGGCAUUCUUAACAUCCAGCUGAUAUAAAGGCCAAUCUUUGUUCACAGCAACAGAUAACAGAACUCUAAUAGUAUUCAACUUAGCAACUGGAGAAAAAGUUUCUGAAUAGUCAAUACCAUAGGUUUGAGUAAAUCCCUUCGCAACUAACCUUGCCUUGUGUCUGUCAAGAGUACCAUCAGCUUUGUAUUUGAGAGAGAACACCCAUUUGCAUCCCACAGUUUUGUGUCCCUUAGGUAGAGUACAAAUGUCCCAAGUACUAUUCUUUUCAAGAGCUUUCAUCUCUUCCAUGACAGCAUUCUUCCAUUCAGGAUACUUUAAAGCAGUGUAGAUAUCUUUUGGUAUUAUGGUAGAGUCAAGGCUUGCUGUAAAAGCUCUGAACUGAGGAGAGAGACUAUCGUAGGAAACAUAAUUGCAAAUGGGGUGUUUAGUACAAGACCUGGUGCCUUUUCUCAGAGCAAUGGGAAUGUCAAGAGAGGAAUCAUACUCAUCUGAUUUUCCUGUAUGACCCUGUUCCGCUUCAUUAUUACGGGUUUCUAUUCUGACCUCAAUCUCAUCACCACUGUCCUUUUCUUCCACGUUUUCAAGAACAGCAACAUUAGACCUGUCAUUCUCACUUAUCAUAUUCUUAGUACAGGGUUCAGUAGGGUUUUCCAUACCUUGAUCUCGAGGAGGUUCAGAGUCUUGGACUGGAGCCGGCGGCUGACUAGUAGGGGAACCGACUUCCUUUUUGUGAUUCCUCCUGUAGUACGUUUUCCAGGGGACUUGGUUUGUGGGUAGGACUAUGGAAUGAGGAAUGAUGUUAGACACACACUAGGAGUGGGUUCGAUGAAUUCAAAGGUGUUGUUAGACUCUUCACUCACACUCUCCCCCUGAAGAUGGCUAACGGGAAAGUAGGGUCGAUCCUCACAGAAAGUAACAUCCAUAGUGACAAAGUAUUUUCUGGAUGGUGGGUGAAAACAUUUAUAACCACGCUGGUGAGGGGGAUACCCAACAAACACACAUGCCUGAGCCCGAGGGGUAAAUUUGGUUUGAUUAGGGCCAAAAUUAUGGACAUAAGCGGUACACCCAAACACACGAAGAGGAACCUCAGAAACAUGACGAGUCGAUGGGUAGGACUCCUUAAGACAAUCUAAGGGAGUUUGAAGAUGAAGAAUACGAGAAGGCAUUCUAUUGAUUAAAUGAGCUGCUGUAAGAAUAGCAUCUCCCCACAAGUAUGAAGGAAGGGAAGUAGAAAGCAUAAGGGAACGGGCUACUUCCAGAAGGUGACGGUUUUUUCGCUCGGCCACUCCAUUUUGUUGAGGAGUGUAGGCGCACGAGUUUUGAUGAACA
rnacentral:lncRNA from 1 species